rnacentral:lncRNA from 1 species
AAAAGGUUAUUAGAUCAACUACAUGACCAAUAUCAUAUUUACCCCCUCUAAGAUAGAAUUCAUCAAUGUUUGAGGAAAAAAAGGUAUUUUUAUUGUCACGACCCAAAUUUCGGGCCAUGACCGGCGCAUGGACCCAAUGGACGUAGUCCACUAAGCCCAAGCAAGCCUAUUAAUCUGACAUAUUCAUCAUUCCAUCAUAAACUGCUAAGUCAUAUAUCAUAACUUAGAAUCGAAAUAAUAUUGAACAUUGCCCCUCAUACUGGCAUACCAAACAAGUGUAUAUAAAUUGUCUACAACAUGUAUCUUAAUAAUUCACAUUAGGUUCGUCUAUUCAUAACAAAAGAAGACUCAAUGUCCAGUGGAGAAACUUGACGAAUACACAACUACUAAAUACCGAGACACCUACCAAUAGUCGAGUCUACAAAGGUACCUCGACCUAGUUACCAGUUGCAUCGUAAUCUGAAAACAUGAAGUUGAAAGCGGUGAGCAUAAACUCAGUGAGUGAACAAGAAAGGGAACAAGCAUACCAUAAGGAAUGUUUAACGAAAUCAUGAUGCAUUCAUUUUCUCAAAACAAUGCAAUUGUUUUGGCUCUUUUAAACCCCUCAUGUAAACCCCACAUGAGUAAAUCACUUUACAAAGAUCCAUGCUCAACUAUGGUACCAAAGAAAUGGAAAAUAUGCCAAAAACCCACAAGUUAGCAAAAUGGACAGAAAGUUUCUCGCUGCAGCGAGAACCAGGUUUGGUGAAGGCCCUCAAACCCGAGAGUUUCUCACUGCAGCGAGUUUCAAAACAUCAAGGAAAAAGUCUCUUUUUUCCUUAAAACAAGCCAUCCUGCUAAAAUAACAAUAGCAACAUGUAACACAUGUAAACUCCCAAAUUUCAACAAAUCAAAUGCUCACAUAUUUGCAUUUACAACCAUAUACCCAUCAUCAUCAUGCACACCAUCCCAUCAUCAUCAUCAUACAAACCAUCCCAUCAUCAUCAUUCCCAGCUCAUGCGCACUCCCUACUCGCACAUGGCUAGGUCAUUACCGGGUUAUGUGCACUCCCUAUUCACACAUAAUUGGGUCAUCAUCGACUUAUGCACACUCCCUACUCGCACAUAGCCGAGUCAAUAUCAUUACACAACAAUGUAUUCAUAUAUAUAUAUCAACACAAUGUGGUAGUGCAUGAAUCAAUAAUAGUCACAUGUCACAAGAUGAAGACAAUCUAUCAAAAGCUUGUUCCCAAGGCACUUGUUUUUAUGAUAAGCUUGAUAAUCCAUUCAAAUGUUUGAUAAAUACAUUAUAUCCCUAAAACAAGUUUUGAAAUGCAAGUCCACUCACCGGUAUUAGGAGUAAAAAUACUCCUAUUUUCAGUCCGCAGGUACAGUCCUUUACCCGUAUCCAAUGGCUCACCACCUAGCCAUAAUCCAUGACACAUAUUCCAAUUAAAUUGUGUCUAACAGUCAUAAGCUAUUUCAGGCUCGAUAUAUAUAUGAUAUGAAAUGAAAAAUGCACGGGUAGCCAUCUAGACCCGGUAUUGGCCUAAGUCGAUUUUUCAUCCGAUAAAUUGGCCAAUGCGUCCAAUUUCACUCCAACUUGCUCCAUUUCUUUUCCAAUCCCUCAAUUCACCAAGCACAAACUAAUUAACACACAAUUAGGCAAAAUUUAUCUUCAUUUUUCUUCUUGGAACUUUGGCCAACAAUGGUACACUAACUCCGUGAUUUUUCCUACUUAAUUUUCUCACCAUUAUUCAUUAAUUCCUACACCAAAAACUAUUAUUUCUUAAUCAAAUCACCUAGAAUAACAUCCCAUUCUUCCUCAUUAUUCACUUAGAGAAUUCGGCUAUUGAUGGGCACCAAACCUUUGGUGGUUUUCUUCACUUGUUUUCAUGCUACACAUCAUUAAUCACCUAAAAACACUAACAUACCUAAAAAUCAAACCAAUCCAAGAUCAUUCUCUCUCCAUACCCAUUUUGCCUACCACUUAUUCACUAUGAAAUCAUGUUUCUCAACCAUAGAAAUAAGAAAAUAAAGCUUGGGUAUUAUAAAUCUCAAGUAAAAAUAAAGAAUUUUCACUUUACCUCGCUUAAUUCCUUGGAAUCCUACACUUUUUCUUCAAUUUUUCCACCUAGGGUUUGUGUUCUUUCCUUUCCUCUUCACUUUAUGCUUUGGCCAGCCAUAUGGGUGAGACUAAGAGAGUUUUAAAUAGAUUUUACAAGGAAAUUCUAGAAUGAUCCAAGCUUGACACAUGGCAUGUUUCCAUUAGUCCAUGUGUAAUACUUAUCCAUUAAGCAAUCUCUCUUCACCACAUAAAAUGUUUCAAUUAUCCACAAUGUAAAAUGUUAAUGGCUAAAAUCCAUGGGCAUGACAAGUGUUAGGUGGUGUAAAAUUUCAAAAUUCCAACUUUACUCCCGUAAACUCGUAAAAUUACCGUUUUGCCCAUAGAACAUGAAAAUCAUCAAAAAUUUUAUUUCCUUGUCAUUUCACCCAUAUUUUCAUCAUUCAUUUAUGCUUUAGGCCUACUUAAGUCAUAAUAUUGUUUAAAACUUACUUUUAUGGGCUUAUUGAGAAAAUGACGAAAUUGCCCCUAAUUAGGGGUAUCGCUUAUAUUUCUAUCUACGAGUCUAUAAAGGUCAAGGUCUCACAUUUAUCCUUAUAUAUCUUAUUUGUUGUUCAUUUACAAUAUUCUAGUUUUAAGAGACCUCAUAAGGAUUGGUUGCACUUUUUUCUGCUCUUUAAAAGGUAUAUCCACGAAAAUAUCUUUAUGUAUGGUUAUAGGAAUUCUUAUUGUCUUAAGACGCUCUUCUCCAUCUCUAACUUUAGAGCAACUAGCAUCAAUCACAUCUAGCUCUAGAAAUUUAGCUAUUUUUACCUUAACAAUUUUAUAUAGCUCUUGAAAUAAUUUGGGUACCUACUAAAAUUGCAACAAAUGGAACGAUACUAUAUUUUAAUCUUAGUGAAAUCAUAAAGGCGCACUUCUAAAAAACAUCCCCUAACAUGUUAAUGAUUAAGACUAGGUUUUUGUCCAUUCCAUAACUCAUAAGGGGUUUUAGGAACAAAUUUGGUAAGAAUUCUAUUUAGGAUAUAUAAGGUUGUUUUAAUUGCUUCUCCCCAUAAAAUUUUGAAAAAUUAACCUAACUCAUUAUACUCUUUAUCAUACUCCUCAUCAUAUCUUUUAAGUUGUGAUGUUAAGAGGAUGUGCAAAGAUAUUCUGAUAUGUUGGUUGUUUUUGAUUAAUUUUAAUAUGAUCUAUUUAGUGGUCAUCUAUGGGCUUGUUUAUUACUUUUUUUAAAAAAAAAACAGAGCUUAUUUUUCUUUUUGUUUCUUACACUUUUUUGUAUUUUAUUCUACUGACUAUGGUGUAAUUUUGAUUUUGCUACCAUGUGUUCUAAAAUGGUCCUUGAUUCUACUUGAAUGAUUUAUCGUUAUUCGACGAAGAUGUUUUUCACGGUUCCCAUUAAAAUGUAAAGGAUAUAUUCUUAACUUCGAAUUGUGCAAUGUGUAGAUUGUGUUUUUUUUUUUUUUUUGAAAGAUAGAAUUUCAUAUAAAAUUCAAGAAUGAAACAUUCUUGAAAAACUACAUAGAACAAGGGAUCAACUUUUGGAAAGCAAGACUCAAACCAAAAGAUGAUGAACAUCCACGAACACUAUAUAAAAGGGACUUGAAACCUUGGAAAAAAACAUAUUCAAGAGUUAAGAACAAAACAUCAACUUAACCAAAACGCAAAAACUCAACCAGACAAAAGAGUAAAGAUCCCUAAAUGGAACUCCAAAAAGCUUAUGAAACUAAUCAGCAACUGCACAUGCAUACACCAAAAAGAAUGCCCCAGUCAUGCAGAAAGGCUAUCAUCGACCAACCUCACAUUCAUUAGAAGGUUAGCAUCAAAGUGUAGAUACAGGGGGCAGGAAAAAAACAUGCCAAAACAAAAUCAUCAUCAGAAACCAGACCAAUCAAGCAUGACAUGAAUGGACCAGCAACAAUAAAAAAUCACUAAAAAGAAAAAGCCACCAAUUUGUAGAAACAAAGACAUAACAAAAUCAAAAUGAGCAACAAUAACCAACGAAAAGCAAAGAAAAAGAUGAAAAAAAAACAUCUAAAAUCAACCGAGAGCAACCAAAAAACCCAAACAAACUAGUUAUCAACAAGAAAUCCCAAAAGCAACGAAAAGGAAACAAAAUCUCUAAACUCAUCCACACCAACAAACCGAAAAAAAACUUCACAAUAAAAUCAAUAAAAAAAGCGUGACAAUAUGAGUGAAAGAAAUUACAUCAAGACAACAUGAAAACCUUCAGAUUAAAAGGUAGGAUCCAACAAUGCACAACCACCAUUAAGAAUUAAUAUUCAACAAGUUAUUAGUCCUUUCAACCCCAUCUUUAGCUAACCUAUCUGCAAUUUCAUUACCAGAUCUAGGAUAGUGCUUAAUACUCCAUUUUCCAACUUUGGAUUUAAGUUUCUCAAUUUGUCUCGCAUUAUACCUAAAUCUCCAUGGUGUUUCCUUAGGAUUUUGCAUCCAUUAUGCAAUGUUAGUUGAAUCACUUUUCACUAUGAGUUCCUAAUUACCAACGCACGAAGAGGUAGCAAAAAGUAAGAAUGUUUCUCUAAUAAUGAUUAGUUCAUCCAUAUUCGCAUUUUCCCGACUUGAUGAUUUUGAAAACCGUCUCUUCGUCUCAUAACACUCCUCUAAUCCCUAUGUCAUCUAAACAAGCACUCGCAGCCUCAUCAAUAUUAAAUUUGAGCUGACUCAUGGAAGAAAGAAUCUCCACCACCAUUGACCUAACUUUAUUCUUCAUUGUUUUAGUAAGACCAAAUUUAAGUUUCCUAAAUAAAUCCAACACAGUUGAAUUUUACUCACCCCAACUUGACUUAACCUUUCACGUUAUCCUAGUUUUGAUAAUAUCAAAGAACAAAAUUUCAUCCCAUAUCUUACUGUUAAACACUAUUUCUUUCCUAAAUAACCAAAUUGACCAUACAAUCUCAAAAAAUGCCAUUUUCCAAAUUUUGACAUUAUCUAGAAUAUAUUUUGUGUCAUUUCAUGCACAAAAAAACCCUUGGUAUUACUAGGAACAAUCCAUUCAAUCUUCAAUUCAUGAAACCGAGCAACCCAAAUUUUUCAACUUUUCGGACAUGUGAAAAACAAAUGAUCAAUAGUUUCGUACUUCUUAUAGCAAAACAAACAUAAAGCAAAACUAGCAGAGAUCAAACCUCUCUUAAAAAGGUCAACUUUAACCGUAAUUCUCCCAUUCGACAACAACCAACAAAAAACCUUCAUCUUAGAAGGGGCAAGAUGCAUCUAAACAACCUUCUAAACUCCCCUAUCAUCAUUAUUUCUUGUGUUAAUCAAUUUACAAAAUCUCUAACAAAGUAAUUUCCACUAGAAGAUCUUUUCCAAAUAACCCUAUCACUAUCAUCCCUAUCCAACAUAAUUUCAUUUAUCCUACACGUCAACCCAACACAUUGACUUUUCUUACCCAAAGGUUCUCUUUCUCAAUUUAAUAUCCGAUAUCCACCCAUUGACAAACCAUUUGCCAAAAUCACAAAUAGUAUCUACUUUAUUAAUAGAAACAACAAAAAUAUUUGGGAAUAAGGUUUUGAGUGGACCUUUCUCCAACCAUCCAUCAUGCCAAAAGGAAAUGUUUUUGCCAUCCUUAAUGAGAAAACUCAAACCUACAAAAACCACAUUAUAAUAAUUGUUAAUGGGGGGAAGGGGAUUAGUGAUGUUUCACCAUAAGGGGGGCAUUCUCUUAUCUCUUAAAUCUCUUGAAACCAACUUAGAAGGAUUAGGGCCAUUUUUCUUGCAACCACACUUGACCAACUACUAAUUUCCUCAUCAUAUCUCCAAAUCUAUUUCUUAAGUGAACCUUUAUUCUUGACUUCUAAAUUCGUUAAUCCAAGCUCCCCACAUUCUUUCUGGCAUCGCACAUUUUCUCAACUAACCUAAUGCAAUUUUCUCCUUCCAUCUGUGGAACCCCAUAAAAACCUUCUUUGAAUCUUGUCUAACUCACUUUUUAUCGUAAUUGGGAUCUGGUAGAAGUAUAUAAAGUAAAUUGGUAAGCUAGCCAACACAGCUUUAAUCAAGGUAAUUCUUCCCCACUAGAUAGUAAUUUCAUUUUCCAUUUAGCAAGAUGCGAUUCAAACUGUUUGAUAACUAGUCUUUAAAUUCUUAUUGAAUUGGUUUUCGCUUCUAAAAGAAGACCCAAAUAGGUAGUAGGAAUACUUUCGACCUUUCAAGAAAUUCUUCCAACCUACUAGCCUAAGGGAUCAUUCUCAAUACCUAUACCAUACGAUACACUCUUUUGGAAAUUAAUCUUAAUUAACUGAAAACAUUUUGAAACUCAGGAUGUUCUUAAGAUGUUGUGUGGUUUGGCUGCUUUUGAUUUUUGCAUCGGUUUCAUCCCAAGGGCUACUUGUUUUUUGCUAAAUGUCCUAAUACGUAAUGGCAUAAAGAAAAGGGUCUUAUCCUUUUGUCAUGCUUUUACUACACCAUUAUCUUAGAUGGGUAGUUUUUGUAUUGAUUUUCUCUCAUUCAAUGAGUAUUGUUUCUACCUUUUAAAAUAAAAAAACUAUCUAAAACAUAUGAGAACGAUAAUUCCACAACAUUAUCUAAUUGACCACACUGGUGAAACUUAUUUUACAACAUGAUAUGUUUUAUAUUACCAUACAAACUUCAUGGUAUGAUUUUAUUUAUUUUAUCAUUAACUUAUUGAGCAUGAGGUAUUAUACUCCAGAAAAUCAAACCUACACGUAUGACAUAACCUUAUAGGAUAUUUAGUCAUUAUACCUUUAUUCAUGUCAUUAAAUGGACUUAUUGCAUUGAAAAAUUGAAAAAAUCACUUUAUAGGGUUUUAGUUAUCAAUUUGUACGUUAUAACUUUAUUAUAAAAGUAUAUAAAAUACGUAAAUAUCUGGUGAGAGUACAUCCUACCAUUCAACUAAAAAAAUAUACAUAUUAUUUUUCUAUCACAUGCAUUCCAUAAAUAUCUCAUAAAAAUAUCCAAAAUAAUGAAUUAAAUGUACACAAAAUAAAUAAAUAUUAAAUGUGCAUUAAAAUUAGAAAAAUAGCACAAAUUUGUAAUGUAAGGAUAAGGGGAGAAAAUUAUAAAAAAAUGCCAAAAAAACACAGGUCGAGGGCCCCAUCCUCCCACUUUCAAGUUGACCUUGUCACCCAAUUGGUCUUGUCUACUUCAACCUCCAAUCAAAUUGGGUCUAGCCCGAUUAGAGCAAAAAUUGACUCAUUCAAGUCUACUUCUUGUUUUCUUCCUAAUUCUCGAUUUUUAGUCCAUUUUAACCAAAUUAGACCUUUUAAAUAUUGACAAACACUUUGUUUUAGAAAACCCAUGCAUUAAAAUUCAUCAAAACAACAUAAAUCAAGAUCAAUUGUCAAAAAUUCGAGUUUCAAGAUCCAUUCUUGACCCUAUUUUAAUCAUCUUAAUAUUUUCCAUAUAAGCCUCAUAUUUGAUGCAAUCAAACCUUACAUUUUAUCUAUAACAAACAAUAACCUAUUUACAAAGAUCAAUUCAAAUUGAAAUACAUUAAAUCUAAUGGUUUUAACCAAUUCAUGAAUUGGAUUUAAAGUUUAAACCCGAACUUUAAGUUUUGACUCAAAUUUUAAGUUUUGAUUUCUCUCUCUAAAAGUCAAACUAAGUUACUAUCUAUAUGUCGAUUUAAUCCAAUUGUAUUAAGAGGAAUAAAAGCCCUAUAUUUAUUGACAAAAUUAGUAACUAAAAAAUAAUUUUUUGUCUGCCUAAAGAUUUCGAUGACUUAAACAUGGUAAAUUUAUUAUAAAUCACACAAAAUAAUGCUAAAUUGGAUCCUAUAUUCAAACUAUGGCAAACUCUGAUAUCAUUUGAAGAACUUUAUGUAUAAUUAAUUUAUACUAAUCUAGAAUUCUCUAUAGUUGAAUUUUAGAAAAUAGAAGGGUACUUGAUUUUUUAUCCAUGAUUUGAUAGCUAAUAUAAUAUUGACUAGUUUAACUAUUGAGAUUCAGUGUACAAGGAUCUUUCUCCUUCUUUUCAAUAACUUUUUAAUGGGCGAGAUAAUGUUUUUAUAUAGACAUGAGAUGAGAUUUAGUCAUACUUGUAUAUAGUGAAUCCCUAAUCUCACUUAUCAUAGGAUUUAAGAUUUCGUACAUAAACUUGCACCCUUAGGCCCAUAUAUAUUUAAUAUUAGAGUAUAACCCACUUUACUCUAUCAUAUUAUAAACUAUAAUAUUGCCACUUUAUGGAGGGAAGGGAAAGUAGAAGAAAAGAGAGGAAACGGUUUCAGAGAGAGAUAAGAAGAAGAAGGAGAAGAAGAAGAGGAAAGCAAAGGAAAAGAGAAAAAUCAGUUUUGGAGAAAGGGAAGAAGAAAAAAAGAAACUAAAUCCAAUGGCUGAGAAGGAAGAAAGAUUGCAUGCAGUGGGUUGGACUGUGCUUUUUAUUUGAUAGGUAUUUUAGACUUUUUCUCAAAUCUGUUAAUGACAUUAAGAAAUUUGGGUGAAGUGUCUAUUUCUAAUAUCCAUAUGUACAUUGAAAGUAAAUUAUGAUUAAAACUUAGAGAGUCAAGAGUAAUUUACUCUAAAUUAAAUGAUGUAAGUUCACAUUUUAUUAUUUGAGAAAAUCUAACAUUAUAGAGUAAUGAUGAUAUAUUUCAAUUGUCUGAUUACUCACAAAAAGAAUAAUAAAUAAUAAUUUUAUGAACAUUUAUUUUUUUCUUUAAUGAUCAAAACAUUAAAUUGUCUUAUAAUUAACAUUUCAUGCAAUUAUAGGACCACUGAUAAAAUAAUCUGCAAACACCGGAGAGAGACAAUUAAACAAAUACAAACGUUUGGUGUUUGUUAGCUGCUGUGGUCCAGUGGUCUCUUUAAUUAUUGUAUGAGCGUCCCUGGAUAUACUCCCAGUUUUCAUCCAGUUUCAUUGGUGAAGCAAACAGAUUGUGACAAACGUCUUAUCUUUGUGUGUUUGAAGGUCUGGUAUAUAGUGGAAAAUUUUGCUACAUGUUGCUGUCUUAGCUAUUUCCCACCACUGACUUUUCAGCUUGUAUAGCUACAUGUUAGAACUACCAAUUGGCACUUAAUCACUCAAGAUUUAAUAGUGGUUAACUUGAAAGAGAAAGAGUUAAUUGUUAACCAUACAUAGUUUAUUGGACAUACUUAAGAAGAUAUAAUUGAUUUUGGUGAGGUGUAUAUAAGUCAACUGUCCCAGGUCUAAGAACCCAUAAUUAAUUGGAAAUCUCAGGUUACCAUCUUGAUUUCUUCUACUUCUUCUUCUUCUUCUUCUUCUCAUUGAAACAAUGAAGUGAGUCUAACAAAAUAAUGCAAUUCAUCCAGAAAUAAAAAAAAAAAGGAGAGAAAGAGUUGGCUCCACGACAAAAAUCAAAACCUAACCACCUCAGCGUUGAACGUAUCUUGAAAUUGAUUUUGCCUGUUUCAGGUGGCUUCCAAGUUGGUAUAUAAAAUAAAAUGAAAUCUUUGAUUUUUCUUUGUUUUGUUUUUUUAAAAAGAAAGCAUUGUGUAGUGGUGCAUAUGUAGUGUUCUUUUACCCCCCCUCCAAGCCCAAAUGUCAAACAAUUGUGAAGGCCUGUAUUCAUAAUUUUACCUGAUUUUUCUAUUCAUUUUACAAUUUAUUUGGAAUUCGUUAUAGAUGAAAAAAAAAAAAAAAGGAAAAACAUAGUAGCGUUCAAAUUAAAAAGAAAAAAAAUAAAAUAAAAGGGUCAAUUUCAUCUUUGAGAGUGUGCUCUUAUCACAUAGAUGGGGUGCCCAAGUAACUUAAAAAUCAAAUAUUUAUUUUAAUUUGAUCUUAAUUCUUAAGUAUUAAACAACUAUUUCCACUUUGACGGUUAUGGCGGUGGUUAGGAAUGAGAAAGCUGACCCGAAAACGUGUCCCCAACUUAUUCUAAAGGAAAGAAAAAGGAUUGGGGGCCUCUCAUGUAUCAAAAGUUAAUAAUUCUUUAUUUUUUUAAAGGUAGGGACAGAUUGAAAGUGGUGAUAGAAGGUGGCGGCUUGUCAUCUUAUAAUUUGAUGUUAUUCUAAAAAUGAUUAAGUUUUAUUUCGUAUUGAUUCAGUUUAUAAUUUUAUUAUUAUUUAAUUAUUUUUAUGUAAAAUUUUAAUUUCAUUAUUACAGAAAUAAUAAAAAAUAUUAAUAUUUUUUUUUUAUAAUUGAAGGAUGGGAGAUUUGAAUUUUGCUAUUUAAAUAAGGAGAUAAUGUACUAAUCAAUGAGUCAAAUAUUCGAGUGCAUAUUAGUAUUUGUUUGGAAGUAUGAUCUGAAAAAAGCAAAAUGAUGAAAUCACAUGCAAGAAGAAAAUUGAAGAAGAAGAGAGAAAGGUUCAGAAAAGAAGGAAAAAUGGACAAACACCCAUAUUGACUAUCGUGACUUUUCAAGAGUCCAAGUCGAAUUUGAUGGGACUCUUGUUUAUUGAUGUUAUUUUAAAAUGAUUAAUUUUUGUUUCGUAUUGAUUCAGUUCAUAAUUUUAUAUUAUAUGAUUAUUAUUUAAUUAUUUUUAUAUAAAAUUUUAAUUCCAUUAUUGUAGAAAUGACCAAAAAAUAUUAGUAUUUGUUUGGAAGUAUGCUACGAAAUGAAAAUCAAAAUGAUGAAAUCACAUGCAAGAAGAAAAUUGAAGAAGAAGAGAGAAAGGUUUAGAAAAGAAGGGAAAAUGGACAAACACGGAUACUGACUACUGUGACUUUUCAAGAGUCCAAGUCGAAUUCGAUAGGACUCUUGUUCAUGUUAUUGUGAUCAUUUAUGCAUUUCUUUUUUCAAAGUUACCGGAUGUUGUACUCAACCCUCAUGUCUAUGUAGUUGAAAGCAUGUGUACCAACAAAAAGUUUAGUCUAUAUUCAUGAAUGAAGUUCAUUAAUAAGGUUGCCUCUUUGAGAAGAUUAUUGGUAUGAUGAACAUAUUGGGUUUUGAGUUUUCUUUUCCUACAAGAGAAAAAACAUUAUUGUUGGCAUUUGAGAUUUCAACUAUAUAUUUGAAUUGAAUUAAACCCAAAUGACAAAUCAAUUCAAGUUGUGGUUUGCACGCUUUCAUUUAAAUUAUUGGCUAAGGUUAAUGCCUCCAACCUUACUUUGUAAGGAUUUCCACAACCUUAAUAAUUAAGGCUAGAUUAUAAUGUCUAUAUUUUAGGCUUAUUCAAUUCGUUUCACAUUCAUUUUUCAAUAGACAUGAACAUCUAAUUGAUGUACUAAAAAUCAAGAAAAGAUUAUUAAACAUUGGGCAUCCUCUGCUAUUCUUUUUGGUAGCUAGAGAUAUGAACAUGUGAGUUAAGCAGUCGUAUUAAAUCCAAUUUUAGUGUAAAUAAAUAAAUGGGAAAGCUUUAUUAUAUGAAAACCAAUACAUGCGUUUUCAGGUUGAUGUCUGAAUAAUGAUGCACUCUUGGUAGGUUUAUACACCAAACUUUAAUGGCUUUUGGAUUAUUUUUGAACCUAACAAAACUCUUUGAAGAAAUUAGGCGUAACAUUGUCAAGGUAAACAUUGCUCUCUUAGCUUGCAAAGUCAUCACAAGAAAAUUGUCUGAUUAAAAAUGAGAAAAACAUUGCAAUUUUUCUCUUUUCAUUUCUAAAAUAUUGGAGUGACCACAUUUUCUAUAUUUACUAACUUGCAAUUUAUUAUGAAAAAAGAAGAAGAAAUUGUCAAGUUCUUCUAAGUUUUAAUUGAUAAAGUUGUGGUAAAUGAUGCACACUUGUAUAUUUAAACCAAGUUAAAAUUCCUACUAGGAGAAUGAAAAUUAUAAUAAUAACAAAACUGUAUCAAAGGGGUUGAAAAUUCGGCCAUCUAGGACCGUCUUAAAUUAUGCUAUCUUGGACAAGUUUCGUACAGAAGGCUUGGUCAUAGCUAUAAUUGAGCUGUAAUAAUGUUGCCCAAAUUUCAAAUGGAUGUCGUGUGCAACACAAAACAAUUAGUCUAAUUCAAGGGUUGAAAAAGAUGCAUAUAUAUAUAUAUAUAUAUACAACGAAAAAGAAAGGAAAGAAAAAAAAUAAAGGUAUAAUACUUAACAAAAAUUAAAAAAUAUUUUUAAAUUGUUUAAAAAAAUUUUAAAUAAAUUUUUUAUUUUUUUUAUUGUAUUCAAUUAAAUCUUUAAAUUUUAAUUUUGAGUUUAAUAAAUCUUUAUGAUUAAUGAUUGAUUAAUUAUUAUUAUUAAUUAAAAUACUAUUUGUUAUUUUAUACGACGUGACAUUUUUACAUAUCAUAAAAAAUGAUAACGUGACAUACUAACGUAACAUGAUGAUAUGAUCAUGUAGUAUUUUCACUAUUUAUAUCAACAUCAUGUCAGUGAUAAGUGAAUAUAAAAUGAUAAAUAACAUUCUCACUGACGAACAAUCAAUUAACUGUUAGUUAUAAAAACCUAUUUGACUAAAAAUAAAAUUACAAGAGUUUGAUUGAAUGCAUUAAAAGAAUAAAAAUUUAUUUAAAUCUUUUUAAAUAAUUAAAAAAAUUUUCAAAUAUUAUACCAAAAGAAAAAUUCUAAGAUUGCUGUUGAAAUCAUCAGCUCUCAAUUGCAUUAAAACAGUAAAAGUUAAAAGUAAAUUUGUUUUCUAUACUCUCACCUAACCAUUUAGGCAUCUACACAGGAAAAAGGGGGAAAUAGCUUUAGUAUUUCUCUAGUGGUGGGUUUGGAAAUUGUAAAUCACCCAUAAAAUGUGAUGGAAUAUUGUAACAUAUCCAUAUCAUUGCUUAAAAACAUCUUUUGCAUGAUUUCACACUCAAUGCCAAAACCAAAGAAACUUUAGUCAUGUCAUUCCUCAAAGUUAAAAGGAAACACCUUUUAGUCAUUGCCAAUCCAUCAUAAGCUCAAUGUUAAUAUUCCAUCAAUUGUCCCAAACAAUGCAUGUAUGAAUGAAAUAUUUAUUUCUUUUUUUCCCUCGAAAAACAAAAGGAGAGAAAGUGAGGUAAGGGACAAAAUGGUCCAAAGGAGUAUCCAACUUAAGGCAUAAUAAUCUACUUCUCCAAGUGUCUUGCUUCCACUCAUCUAAUUUCUUCAGAACAAGAAAAACAAAAUGAAAUUAGGGAGGAGGAUGUAAUAGAAACAGAGUGUACCCGCCAAGUACAUGAUCUACUUUUGUUGCUGUUUAUCAAUUUAUCCCCACCUUGAAACAAUCAAUCCUAACCUUUAAAAGAGCGGCCACUUUGAGAUUCUGGUGAGAGAAAAAACAAUAACAACCAAACUUUUUGAGAAAGACACAGAAAAACAGAGUACUCUGUUUCUGUCUUCUGAAUUCUGAUUCUCUUUGAGUUUUAUGAGUUCUUCAAAUUUUAGUCUUUUGAUGUUCUUGUACUUGAUUUUGUAAGGCUUCAGAAGGACCAACUCUAUUGAUAUGGAAAACAAUAAUGAGACCUUGGAUGCAGUGCUGAAGGAAGCUGUUGAUUUGGUAUGAUACAAAGCUAAAACAGAGGGCAUACGCUGUUUUUUUUUUGGUUAAUUUGAUUCUGUUUUAGGUGUCUUUUUCUUUGGAUGUUUUUGAUUUCUGGGAUUUUUGUCUUGUUUUGGAUUUUGAUAAAUUAAACCUUUGGGUGUAGGAAAAUGUGCCACUUGAAGAGGUUUUUCAGACUUUGAGGUGUAACAAAGAUGGUCUAACCACAGAAGCUGCUGAGCAAAGGCUUGCUAUUUUUGGCUACAAUAAGCUUGAGGAAAAAAAGGUAUUAAUAUAUUUUAAAAUUUUUAUUUAAUAAUUCCUUUUAAACAAAUAAAAUCUUAGUUUUAUGUUCGAAAAAACACUAAUUUUCAGGUUUUUAAAAACUGAUCAUCAAGUUUUAUGGACAGAGUUGGUUGGUUGGAACCCGUUACAUAAAUUAUAGUUCUCUCUGUAAGUUUCGGUAGAUUACCUUUUUUUCAAGUGAAAUAGAGCUAAUAUAUUUGUCUUUUUCUGUUUUGCAGGAGAGCAAAAUUUUGAAGUUCUUGGGGUUUAUGUGGAACCCUCUCUCAUGGGUUAUGGAAGCUGCAGCAAUCAUGGCCAUAGCACUUGCCAAUGGAGGCGUGAGUGUAUUUCAUUAUGUUCUGUAAUCUAUGUUGGUUUUUGUUUCUGGCAAAAAACACAAUACUAUAUUUAUACAUAUAAUAAUUCACACGAAUGCCUUUUGUUAUUCAAUUACUUGAAUGAUGUUAGCACGCAGUAAAUAUGGGAAGCAUCUUGUUUUUCUUUUCUCUUUUGAUAUUUUUCUUGGGAAAAAACGGUGGAGGAACUUAGCAAUGUCCUCAUGCCUUUGCAGGGGAAACCACCUGACUGGCAAGAUUUCGUUGGGAUUAUUACUCUUCUUUUUAUUAAUUCAACUAUAAGUUUCAUAGAAGAGAACAAUGCUGGCAAUGCUGCUGCAGCUCUCAUGGCUCGUCUUGCUCCUAAAGCUAAGGUAAUUGGAUAAACGAUAUGUGCCUUCAUGUUUUACAUAUAAAAAUACUUUCAAAGGACAUUCUUGUUUUGUUGUAUAUUCAACCUGCAAUGAAUUGUUUCAGGUUUUUAGGGACGGGAAGUGGAUUGAGGAGGAUGCCGCUAUUCUUGUUCCUGGUGAUAUAAUCAGUAUUAAACUCGGGGACAUUAUUCCUGCAGAUGCUCGCCUCCUUGAUGGUGAUCCACUGAAAAUUGAUCAGGUUCUUUUGCAACCUUAAUAGAUUCAUUCUUCUGUUGGCUGAAUUCCAACUGAAUCAGUUUUAAGUUUAUUUCUUAACAUUCUAUGUUUCUCAAUGCAGUCUGCGCUAACUGGUGAGUCUCUUCCCGUAACUAAAGGCCCCGGUGACAGUAUUUACUCGGGUUCUACAUGCAAACAGGGAGAGAUUGAGGCAGUGGUGAUUGCCACGGGUGUUCAUACCUUCUUUGGCAAGGCUGCUCACCUCGUGGAUUCUACUAAUCAACAGGGUCACUUUCAAAAGGUACAGAGAAAGAGCCACAAACCUUAUUUUAAAUUAAUAAUUGGUAUUCUUCUGCAUUUGUUUUGUUCAUAAAAUGCUUUUCUGCAUUUGCUUAACAGGUAUUGACUGCAAUUGGUAAUUUCUGUAUAUGUUCCAUCGCGGUGGGGAUGAUAACAGAAAUCAUCGUCAUGUACCCGAUUCAACACCGUGAGUACCGUCCAGGAAUUGACAAUUUGCUGGUACUUCUUAUUGGAGGAAUUCCUAUUGCCAUGCCCACAGUUCUAUCUGUUACAAUGGCAAUUGGGUCCCAUCGCUUAUCCCUGCAGGUUUGUUCUAAUUGCUCUUGUGAGUGUGUUUCUUAAGAUGAUCAUUGCUUAAUUGUGCUGACAUAUAUAUGUCGGUGCAGGGAGCUAUCACCAAACGAAUGACAGCAAUAGAAGAAAUGGCAGGCAUGGAUGUCCUCUGCAGUGACAAAACUGGAACUUUGACCUUGAACAAGUUGUCAGUGGACAAAAAUCUUGUUGAGGUUGGUUGGCAAUUGCUUCAUAUUUUAUCUCUGUUCUAGCAAUCUGAUUUUAUUCUGCGGUCCAACGUUUUUUAUCUUGAUGUUGUGGCAUAGAUCUUUGCGAAAGGAGUAGAUCCAGAUACUGUCGUUCUGAUGGCAGCUCGUGCAUCUCGGCUGGAAAACCAGGAUGCAAUAGACGCUGCUAUAGUGGGGAUGCUGGCUGAUCCAAAGGAGGUAUGCUUAUUGAUGUUAUGUUCCUUUUAUGCUUGCUGCUUAUGCUAGACAGGAGGUAACAAUUAGGAGAGCUUAAUUAAAUCUUACUAUUUUGAUUUACUUUGGUUUCUCUGCUUAUCCCUUGAAAAAACUUCCUAGGCACGAGCAGGUAUUCAAGAAGUUCACUUCCUUCCCUUCAAUCCAACUGAUAAGCGAACGGCUCUGACAUAUAUUGACAAUCAAGGUAGAAUGCACCGGGUCAGCAAAGGUGCACCUGAACAGGUAGGCUCAUCAGUAGACUUUAUGUAGUUUGACUGUUCUGUUAAUGCCAUGAAGUAAUUCAUUCCUUUUGUUGGAUUAUAGAUUUUGAAUCUUGCACACAAUAAAUCAGAGUUGGAGCGUAGAGUUCAUGCAGUAAUUGAUAAGUUUGCAGAGCGUGGAUUACGAUCACUUGCAGUAGCAUAUCAGGUGAUGACAUAUAUAUUAUGUAGUCUUGUUUCUUUGUCCUAUAAUUAAGUGAUUUUAUCCCUGUUACAUUUUACAAUGAAAUUGAUAAUUUUCUUGGCUAUAUCAAUCAAUGCACAGGAAGUUCCUGAUGGAAGAAAGGAAAGCUCAGGAGGUCCAUGGCAAUUUAUUGGCCUAAUGCCUUUGUUUGAUCCACCUAGACAUGACAGUGCGGACACAAUACGAAGGGCACUGAAUCUUGGAGUGAACGUGAAAAUGAUCACAGGUGCGUAUCCUCAUAUUGAUACUGCGUCAAACUAUCUCAAUGCACUUGGUAAAUGAAUAUACUUGUUUUUAUUUGAGCAUGUCUCCUUAUUCUGAUCAAUGCUCCUAUUCUUGAUCUUUCUUAUAACCAUUAGGCGAUCAACUUGCAAUAGCAAAAGAAACAGGACGCCGUCUGGGAAUGGGAACCAACAUGUAUCCUUCAUCAGCCUUGUUAGGACAAAACAAAGAUGAGUCUAUUGCUGCUUUGCCAGUUGAUGAGUUGAUUGAGAAAGCUGAUGGCUUUGCUGGUGUUUUCCCAGGUAUCUUCACAUUUUCCUUUUCCAUCUUGAAAUAAAUUUUCCUUGCAAAAACAUCCCCAAGCCAUGUCUAAGAACUCAAACACACACUUAAAGCUGAUGGUUAGAGACUUGAUCCUCUCUGGUGCCACUGCCAGAUACCAUUAGACAAUGAGGCCUGUGGUCAAUGACUGACGUGAUGUUUGGAUGCAAUUUAUGAUAAGGACGUCCUUAAUUUUGGUGUUAGAGUAUGCUUCUUAUGUUGUCUUUGCUUGUACUACUUUCAUUUAAUUGCUGGUGCAGAGCACAAGUAUGAGAUCGUGAAGCGCUUGCAAGCCAGGAAACAUAUAUGCGGAAUGACUGGUGAUGGGGUCAAUGAUGCUCCUGCUCUUAAGAAGGCUGACAUAGGCAUAGCUGUGGCUGAUGCAACUGAUGCAGCCCGAAGUGCUUCCGACAUUGUCUUGACAGAACCAGGUCUUAGUGUUAUAAUCAGUGCUGUACUAACUAGUCGUGCAAUAUUCCAAAGGAUGAAAAAUUACACGGUGAGUCUAGACUAUAGCCAUGAUAUGCAAUGGCAACAUUUGGAGUCAGCCAGGCAGUUCUUCUAACUCAAGUCCUUAACAUACUAAUUAGUCAGCUUUACUUAUUUAACUUAAAAAAUAUAUAAACAAAAAUAUGAGUUUUACUAGGUAAGUUAUGGUUAUGGUUUUUUCAGGCAUUAUUAUCUCCUCCUUUCACAAUUAACCAUAUUGAGCAACAUUGUUGUUUAAUUUGAAGUUAUUUGAUUUCUUUCUUCUUCGCAGAUAUAUGCGGUUUCCAUUACAAUCCGUAUUGUGGUAAGUUCUUUGGCAUUGGCUUUGAAAUGUUGCUUUCUGACAAUUAUAUUUAGUGUAACUGCUGUGGUAAUAUAAUGGUGGUUUCCUCUCAAAAAGUAGCUUGAUUCUGACUUGGUACUGUACGUUCAUUUGACCUCUUGCUUGACAGCUUGGUUUCAUGUUACUGGCCUUGAUAUGGCAGUUUGAUUUUCCCCCCUUCAUGGUGCUGAUUAUUGCUAUCCUCAAUGAUGGUUUGUAAUGCUUGUCUUCAUUACCCUGAAAGUGCAGUCCCUGAUUCUAUUUAGUAUGCUUGCUUGAAAAACAAAUCAUUGGUCUGUCAGGUACCAUUAUGACGAUAUCCAAGGAUAGGGUGAAACCAUCUCCUCAGCCAGACAGCUGGAAAUUGGCAGAAAUCUUUGCUACUGGAGUCAUUCUUGGUGGUUACUUAGCCAUGAUGACUGUCAUUUUCUUUUGGGCAGCAUACGAGACAGACUUCUUUCCCGUAAGAUGAUAGUUUUAUGACAUUGAAAGUAACCAAAUCAAUAUUCAUCUACUUUCACGCAGAACAAUUAUGUUAGAAUUGGAGUUACAUUUAGUCAUUUGUUCAUUUUUUAUCAAUUAUGAUUUUUGCUUUCUAGCAAAAUCAACGAUCAGAGGAACCCUUAAUUUCUCUUUUGUUGUUGCUUUUGACCAUUCGGCUGUGUGUGUGUUCCAUAUGAUGUAUUACUUUAAUCAUGCCAUACUCAGUUGCUUAGUGUGAUGCUGUGUUAUUCAGCGCACAUUUGGGGUUUCAAGCCUUCAGCAAAAGGACCAUGAUGACAUGAGAAAGCUUGCUUCUGCAAUAUAUCUGCAAGUGAGCAUUAUCAGUCAGGCGCUCAUAUUUGUAACAAGAGCAAGGAGUUGGUCUUAUGUUGAGCGUCCUGGCCUGUUACUUGUAACAGCUUUUGUAGCUGCCCAGCUGGUUAGUGAAACUGCUGCUUUUUUGUCGCUUUCAAACAUGAGUUAUGUAAAACAGAAAUACCUAUUCUUGAUUUGUCUGGUUUCUCUCAUGAACAGAUUGCUACACUGAUAGCUGUGUAUGCAAACUGGAGCUUUGCUGCCAUUGAAGGAAUUGGAUGGGGUUGGGCAGGUGUGAUAUGGCUUUACAACCUUGUCUUCUAUAUCCCACUCGACUUUAUCAAGUUCUUCAUACGAUAUGCCCUGAGCGGGAAGGCUUGGGAUCUUGUUAUUGAACAAAGGGUAUGAUUUUCAACUGGUAGAGCAACUUUUGUUGUUGCGCGGAGCAACUUGCUGAAUGUUUCAUUUGGUUGAUUGUUUUGCAGAUUGCUUUCACGAGGAAGAAAGACUUUGGGAAGGAAGAACGUGAACUAAAAUGGGCACAUGCUCAGAGGACCCUCCAUGGGCUCCAGGCACCUGAUACCAAGAUGUUCAGCGACCGCACCAGUUUCACAGAACUUAAUCAGAUGGCUGAAGAAGCAAAAAGGCGAGCUGAAAUUGCGAGGUAUGCAUCCAUUAAUAAUAAGCUAACACUAAAUUUUGCGGUCAGCAUAUUCAUUGUUUUCCCUUUCCCUCUUCUUAUAUGCUCACGGAGACAUUUAACUAGAUGGGCAAGAGUUACCUCCAGGGGCUAAUUAAGCCUAAGUUUCUGGUUUCUAUCCAGGUGAUUAGAAGCUGGAUGCUGUAAAAUGGCACAUAAAAUGCCUGCCAAUUACAUGGAUGGGUUUAAUUUUUGUUGUUCUUUAAAUUGUCAAAUAGAAAUUGGCAAUGCUUUUCAUUAGAAGAGAGCUGGCAUAUAAACCCAAAAUGCAAGAGCAUCAAGGGCUCUGUUUGUUAUUCUCAUCUAAUGAAUGGCUGAUCACAGUUGAUAUUUUGAUCCUUUUUGGAGUAGAGCAAAGACAUGAAUAUAGCAAACUAAAUGUGUUCCGAAAUGGGUUAUUGCUGGAGGGGUAAUGGUAGCGUGUGAUCACGCUAAAUAUUUGCAUUUUCUCUUGCAGGCUGAGAGAACUGACUACGCUGAAAGGGCAUGUCGAAUCGGUAGUUAGAUUGAAGGGUCUUGACAUAGACACGAUUCAGCAAGCAUACACCGUCUAAGAAGACAUCAACAUUUUGCACCUACAUGCUGUACAUAUACUGCUGCGGCUGCUGCUACUGCUGAGAGUAAUAAAGCCCUGUAAUUUGUCAUCCAAAAUAUUCCAACUGCUUUUCAUAUGCUUAAAUCCAUCAUCUUCCUGAAAGACUCUUGUUUCCUAUGGAUUCAAUGUAAUCUUGGUCCUGUUCUCUCUACCUCUUUUCCAUAUAUAAUUUCAUUUUAAUGCUGGCUCUCUCUCUAAUCCUAUCAAGGAAAAGCAGAAAGCAACAGAACAGAGUUGAUCUGAAAUCCUAGAAAGAAUGAAUGCUAAUCCUUUAAUACCAAUCAGAAAUCUUUGUCAAUAAUACGAAGAUGCCUGUUGUUAGAGAGGAGUCUUAAGACAGCUGCCAAGAUUUAAUUACUCAAGAAUUCUAUCAAGGUCACUCUACUUGCUUGAGUAAAGAUGCUGCAUAUAAAGAUUCCUUCUCCUUUUGGGGCAAUAACCUAAUUGUAUCACUCCAUUUCAUACUUAACAAGCUAAAUUUGGAGCCACCGAAUGCAAUAUGGGAAAUCAGAUAAACACAAAAGGAAAUGAAUGUAAAAGAAAGCAUCUGACCAUUUAUAUCAAUCGCAUAUAUGAAAUCAUCAUCGUCCCACAAUAAAGAGUUGAAACAUUGUUUACCAUAAUCAAUUUCAGGAAACCCCGUUAGACAUUAUUAAAGGAAAUAUACAAACUGAAAGUAUUGUCAAGUAGCAGCCUGGAGAGUCCUAUGCUUCUCAACCUUCUUCUCAAGGUCAUUCUUUUGGGCUCCAACCACCCUAUCCACUUCCUUCCCUUUCUUCACCAACACAAAUGUUGGCAUUGCCUGCACCCCAAAUUCCUGCGCCACAUCCUAGAAACCCACCAACAACCAAAAGAAAAAGAAGCGACAACAAAAACCAAGGGCAAAAUUAAUAAAAUCCUCUACAACGUCUCCAAAUAUAUAUUACAGACUAUGUUAUUUCGUCCCAACUCAACUCAUUUUUUAGGGUGCAUUUAGGACACAGAAUGAUAUUGUAGCAAAGGCAUAACAAGUUACCAAAAAAUUGAUCAUAUCUUUUCCAUUAUCCUGUACACAAAAUGCACUCCUAACAAUUUACUUACAAAUUAUGUACAGAAAAGGAGAGAGUUACCCUGAGAAAUUAUUGAAAAUCUUCAUUUUUAUCAUGUUCUAUUAAUCAUCCUGUAUACUAAAGCACCCUGACAGACUAUUUCCAAAUUAUGUGCAGAAAAGGAUCGAAAACAUACAGGCAGCUCAUCAACGUCAAUUUUAACAAAAUCAACUUCCGUGAACUUUGCAGCCAUGUCAUGUACAGCAGGUUCUAUGAACUUGCAAGGCCCACACCAGGAAGCUGAGAAAUCUAUAACUAUCUGCUCUCAUUGUUUUUUUUUUUAUGCAUAUAAAAAGAAAAAGAAACAAAAACCCAGAGUCAGAUCUUUUGUAUAAUAAUCACAAGAACCAUCAAAACUCAAAAUAAAUGGAUAAAAAAAAAAAGGCAAAAUUUUGGAUUUGGGUUGACAGAAAGGUACAAGCUUUGGGGUUUCUUUGACAGAGUUGAAGUGAAGCUGCCAUCUGGGAGAUGAAUGGAAGGUUAAGACCCUUGAAGGCUCAGAUGAAGAUGAAUUUGAAGAUGAAUCUUCUGAUGCCGAACCUAACAAGCUUGAAAAGAAAGAACCCAUUUUCUUUCUCUUGAUUUCCUUUUCUUUUCUCAAAACAAAGAAAAGAAAAAGUGAGGCUAGUUAUUACUGGAUGCAGCUGGAGCAGGGAAGCUUCGGUUUUAUCGUUAUACUUUGCAGAAAUGGUACGAAAUCAGUGGAAAUCUUUAUAUAAUUUAUUUUUUAAUUACGUAUUUGUUCAUUACUACUAGUUUAUUUAUUUAUUUAUUUUUAUUAACUAAGAAAUAUGUUUAUUGAAUUGCAAUAAGUUACGUAGAGGAUCCUGAAAUCAAUAAUUUUUUAUUCAUAAAUUUGAUAGCUCUUAUUUAACAUUAAUUAUAAGAAUCUUUUUAAUUUUUUAAAAACCAAUUGACUUUAAAUAUAUUUCUUAGUACAACCUACAUUAAGUUGGGAUCAAAUGGUGAUUUUUAAUUAAUAAUAUAAAUAUUAAAAAUAAUUAUAUGUUACGUAAUUUAAAUUUUAACAGUACUAUUUUUAAAAAUAUAUAUUGCUACUUGGGUUUGGAAUUCAUUUCUUCAUGUUAGAGCAAGCCAAAAAAUGGGCCUUUUGGAUCCAUUAAUUUGGGCUAUGGCUCUCAGUUGGUGGGUUGUUGGGCUCCCCAUUUCACAGAAGGAACAAAAAACAUGGCCCAGAUGUGGGUUGAUUGCUCAUUUGAAUUUCAGGCCCAAAGGCAACCUUAAUCUGGAAAUUGUUCGACUUUCUACCAAAAUUAAAAAGAAGAUUGAUUGAUUAGAUGCAAUGAUAUGAUAAUAAUUACAUAGAACGUUCAAAGCAUCAUGUUAUAUAUGUGUCAUGUUGGACAUUUUCAAUAGUAAAACAUAUUGGACAUCUUGUAAAUAAGACCUAAAAAAAGAUGGAGGUUCAAGUUCACAAAUUAAAGUCAAUAAUGGUGGAACUUCGACUUAAUGUUUGGUAUAACCUUUAGUCUUGAAUUCAAUGAGACAAAGUGUAUUAUUCGUAUUGAGCUGUUAGCAUUAUAAUAUGAUAAAUAAUAUUUCAUUUCAGGUCAAGUGGCAGGUAACCAUAAUAGUAAGGACAUGAUGAGUAAUGUACUUUUAAUAGGCUUAUAAUAUAUAUUUGUUAGAGUAGUUAUGGGGUAUUUUUUAUGGGAUCUACCUAUGUGAAUGCAAAGUGUGACCACUUUUAUGAGCUUAAUAGCACUCAUGAAAAAAAGAUGCUAACAUUAGUGGGAAAGGCCUGACAUGUAUCAAAAUGCAAAUAACAAAAACAAAACCAAAAUUAUUAACGCAGCGAAAAAACAACUAAAACCGACCUUUCCACCUAAGGCCACUUUCAUGGUUUUUGGAUGGUAUGUAGUACAACAAAACGCACGUGUGAUCUAGUCAUUACCUUGGGUACAAAGGAAAGUUUGAUUCCUUGUACAAACUCCACCAAAACAGCCCCUCCAAGAGACCUUACACUAGGCUUGGUUGUUGCAAACCAAAGUUGUCUAAGAAAUUCUUAUGCAUCCUCUAAUGAAAAUCCACACAAUGAAUGGAGAAAUCUUUACUAAAGGGUGGGAUUUCCAAGCCUCCAAUGUGCUAGCAAAGAUGUGUUUUUAAACACUAUUUCCUUCCUUUCACCCUAGCCAAAAGAACAAAAGAAAACAAAAUUUUCUCUUCACACACUCACAAAGGGCGACAACAUUACUCAUUAGUGUUGAGUAGUGGUUAGGUUACUAAGAGCGUAGCUUAAGCCAGGUAUUUAUAUCAUGGACCAAUUUCAGCUCUAAUUGCUUUUCCAUGUAAUUGCUAAUUGGUCCUUGCACUUAAUUAAGCCUUUUAAUUAAGUUCAAUAAAAGUUUAUAAAUUCUAGUUUUGAUUAAAUCCAACUUAAUCACCUUUCCCUAUGUAAUCUCAAUAUUCACCUUUUGUGUGUGACCCAUUAGGCUUCCAACAUGUUGACAAUGACUUUAAAAUGUAAUCCGUAAAUUAAGUUUAGGAUUAGAUAAAUUCAAACUUACUUUGAAUUUAUCAUUAAUCACAUUAACCAUUUUAUGACUUUAGGUCAUGAGUAGGAUCUAGCAAUCCAUCAUGGCCACCCAAAUGUUAAAAGAGUCAAAAUGGUUUGACUCAACUUUUAGUGAUCAGUCUUUUAGUGCAAUUCAAUCUUUUCAUGAUGUAUCUUAGAAAGUUUAGGAGCAUAAUGCAAUGUCAACUCUUAAAUCUUCAAUUUCAGUCAUAACACUAAUUAGCUAUCAUGGAUUAUAAAAAACUCAUUUCCUAAAACCUAUUGUGCUUUGGCCAAAGUUUUCACAUAAGCUAACUUAAGGUUGAACAAUUGAGAUACAUCUCUUUAAUUACUCGGAGUGAUGAAUCCUAUCUUGACCAUUGAUUUGCCUUCAUGUGCUUCAUGCUAUACUCAACGUUCAUCCUUUUUAGGCAUCCUUGGUUAGGACUUGGAGAGAUAAAGUUAAAGCAUAACACUCUACAUAUAAGACAAGCUGGUGUCUUCAGUCUAAGGAUCAUUUGCAUGAUUGUCAAAUGAGGAUAUACUCCAUUGACAUUAGAGUGAAAUACCAAAUGGAAUCCUUAUGUUGGGUUAUGUCUAGCGAACUUGUUCCUAGAACAAACACUUACUUUUUAGUUCCAAGUAUUCCUAUACUUUAACCUAUGAGAUUGGUUGCUUAUUUUUGAACUAAGGAACAUAGAAUGUACUAGUCUUUAACCAUCAUUGAUGUCUAGUCUCAAUGAUACAUUGACUAUGAACAAUUUAGAGAGUAUAUUUUGAUGCAUAGGGAUUUCAUAAUUGUAACAAUUUACAAUUCUUUUACAAGACAGGUUAAUCUCAUGGACUUUAUCUAAUAGACAUAUAAGCAUAGUCUUAUUGAUGAAAGAAAACCUCUAAUCAUUUGACAUGAAUGAUAUGAUUGCAUGAUAGGACAUAAGCCUUGAUCAAUCUGAUUGGCUACAAGGCUUAUUCCAACAUAAGCAUGGCCAUAAAGUGUCACCGGAUAUUGUGCAUUCAUUGGUGUUGUUACGACCCAAACUCGGGUUUGUGAUUGGUGCACCAGUCCGACAAGUGAAGCCUGCGAAAUCCAAGCAAGCCUUAGAAUUCUCGUGUCCAAUAUUCAGUCCAUGGUAUCAUAAACAAAAUAUAUAAUCCAUUUCAUUUCAUAAACUCAUUAGUACAAUAUUCAUAAGGCCACACAUAGGCCAAUCAUAAGGUUUAUAUCAUACAACCCUUUGUACACAAUAUCACAUGGCACUCAGUGCCUACAAUAUCUGAAAUACAUUAUUUUCUAAAUUUUAAAAUUUCAAAUGAGCUAAUGUGGACUGGCCUUAGUGGAAUGAACCAUUAGGUGGAAAACCUACUAGAUGCUAAAAUUGGUUCAUUCAAACGAUGAUGCUAAGCCACGUAUAUAUCACUUAUCUGAACAUGGUACACAAAGGGGGUGAGUCAUCUAAUACUCAAUGAGAUGGGGAUGCUAACGCAGCAUAAUAAAGCAUAAGUGAAUAUUCAUAACAUGAAGACACAUUUAUUAUAUAACAUACAUAGUAAUUUAUCAAAUAUUUCCAAAAUAUAAGUGCAAGGAUCAUUCUAAUAUCCUACAUGCAUAUCACACCAUGCUUGCUGGAAUCACAUCUCAACGACACACUCAUAUUCAUUAAUUGAUCAAAUCCGUGUCUCCAAAAUACAACAUAAUAAACAAAGCUUACCGUCAUAAACCAUCAUUAUGUAUGCUCCAUAGGCACACUUUAGUUGUCGGGCACAACCUCAAACUCAAUAUGUAUGAUUUGCUUCCCUCAAAGCUUUUCUUCAAAUGUCAACCACAUUUAAAUUAUACAAUGACCACCACAUUUUAGUCAUAUAUCAAUACACACAUAUUUAUGUAUUAUAUCAUCAUAAUUAAACACAUCAAUGAGUGGUCCUCCCCUGGACAUAGUCAAAUCAUGCACGGUGGCCAACUGCUUUAAAAAAACAAAUCACCAAUAGAGCAAAGCUACUAGUGGAGCACAAGUCACACCUGUGCCGAAGCAACAAGAGGAGAAUCAAAUCACACCCAACACCGACGCAGCUAGCAGAGAAUCAUAUCAUCGACCGAAGUAAUCUCCUAACAGUUGGCAUCGCCCGAAGUAAUCUCCCAUUGACGGCAUUACCCAAAGUAAUCUCCGUACGAGCGACAUCACGACACUAGAGGUGGGAAUCGUAGGUAAGACCAAACCACAAUCCUUGUUUACCAUCAUCCAUGCAUGCACACACACAUUCAUAAGGUAGCGGGACCUAUUUAACCUCAAGUCAAAUCAACGUUUGGAAUUCAUCCCUCAGACGAAGCACAAAGCCAUAAUGAGACCAUCAUGUCUCUAUCUUUCCAUAUGUCCACAACAUUUCACAAAUCACAUUUAUCGAGCUUCAAUUAUCUAUACACUCGUUUGAAUUCUAAAUGCCUUAAUGAUUCAUGAAUCAUAAUAUCAUAUCAUUUAAUUGGCCUUUUUUAGCCCCACAUACAUGAACAAUUCGCAUCAGUUGUCGAAACACAUGGUAGUACACAUACUCAAGCAAUUAGGCCUUAAUAAUCAUGGCUCAUUGGGCACAAAUGCAUCAACAAUCUCAUUUUAAAUUAUCCGUAGCCAAAUAUCCGCAUAUACAUGAGCAAUCUUGCAUCAUUAAUUAAUCAGCAAUCAGGCAAUCCAAUCCCACAUCAUGGCAUAACCAUCACACUAACUUAGUCACAACAUAUCCAAAAGCCACUAAGAUCAUACAUCACCUAGAUGUUUAACAGCUCAUGCUUCCUAAUAACAAUCACAAAUAAACACAUAUACUGGCAUAUUAUUAAUAAUAUACUAGCCUAGGCAUAUUCAUCUAGACAUAUACAAAUCAUUCAAGUACCAUAGCAGCACAUUAAAAAAUCAUUCAAGUACCAUGGCAGCACAUUAAACAAUGUGUGAUGCAUCACAUGCAUUUUCAAAGGUAAACCCCACUCAUAGUGACAAAUUGGAGGUACUCCACAGCCAACUUUUGAUUUUUAGCCUCCAACCGUCCACUACCUCACAAAUGCGUCAAAUUACUUUGAUUUCCCCCUUAGGAUACAUCUAUCAUAAAAAAACUAAUUAAAUCUUGAUUUUCGAAAAGUGCUAGCUUUUUUAAAAAUAACUAAAUUUUUAACAAUCUAACCUAUAAGCUCAAAUCCUUCAAUAAUGAGCUAAACCCAUACUUUAGGGGCUAGAUUGCACAAAUUUUACCUCUAAAUUCUUUAGCAAACUCAAGGGGCAAAUCUCACCAAAGCUGGACUAAAUCAAAUCUAAAUUAUCAACUGAUUACAUCAAAAAUCAAUUAGUAAAAAUGCUUAAUCUUACCUUUAGAAGCAUUUCCCAAGCUCCAAUCCACUCUAAAUAGCUUUAAAAUUGUUUUAGGAGGUUAGGGUUUGAGUUUUAGAGAGACAAAGCAAAAAUCAUAAAUCAAGCUUUUAGAAGUGGAAAUCCUUACCUUCAACACUUAGAAUCCAAGACUUGUUGAUGGAAUUUGAUGGGUUUGAAGGAUGUGAAAUUUAGGGGAAAAUGGUGGAAGAAGAAGAAAAUAGGAGAGAAAUAAAGAAAAGUCAGAUUUGGGGCUUUUAAGCCCAAAUUUGGCUGAUUGGGCAACCUAGGGUCAACUAUGGGAAGUCUGUAGUCGACCCUGGACAAUCAGAUUUCACUUUUUUUCCCUUCACAAGAUCAACUAUGGAAGGUCUAUAAUUGAUCUUAGACUAGUAUGUCUACUUGUAUUCGACUUUUCUUUCACAUAAUCGACAAUGAAGGCUUUAUAGUCGAUCUUGGACCAAUAUGCUUGCAUCGUUUCCCAUUUUCUUUUCUAGGAUCGACUACUAGGGGCUUAUUAUCGAUCCUAGACUAGUAUAUUCAACUUCCCUUGCACUUUUGCUCUUUUUUAAAGCCUAAGCUCAUUUUAAACCUCUUCUACAACCUCUAAUCAUUCAUAAAAUCCAAUCCACACAUACAUAUUCUUUAUUAUCACAUCAAAUACAAAUCAAAACCUUAAACCAUAGAGUUUAUUCAUUAUUUCUCAUAUUUCCUAAAAAAUUCGACUUAGUGUAAAUGUAUGCACUUUCAACACUUGGCUUACAUAACAUAUCAUCAAUGUACUCAAGGCACAAUAUAUUUAAUAGAUCUUUCUCAAUUAACUUAAUUUACAUUGAAAAUUUGGGGUGUUACAUUGAAAUCAUUGUGUUUGAUAUGUUCUAUUAACCAUAUGGAAUAGUUGGUUCAUAGCAUAGUUUACCAUAUAAUUUUAAUUAACUUCAACAUGUUUUCACAAGGUGAAGGUUCAAUAGAAAGACACCUUCAUUUAUGUAAUUGAUUUACAAGAUUAUUGAAAAUCUAGAUUAUUUUGAAAAUAGUGGAAGAUUGUUAGACAUUUUCAAUAAUAAUAUGUGUGGGACACAAUCUCACAUUAGAAGAAAUAAAGAAAGUUGUUCUUUAAAUAAAGAAGAGUAUAAGUUCUUAAUAGUUGGACUAAAGUGGGUUAACAUGCAAAUUGAACCUUAGUUAGUCUUCUGAUUUAAUUAAAUUAAUAAUACAUAAUGAACAUAUAUUACUAUUUAUAAAAUUACUGGACACAUGUAAGUGUAGUUGCAAUUGAUUAAUAAUAAAUUAUAUUUAUUUUUAAUUUUUUAAAUGUCACCAUAUAUGUUUAUACAUAUAGUCAAUUAUGUCUAUACAAACAUACAUGUAAAUUCUAUGUGAACAUGGACUCUUUUGUUUAAUAAAAGAGAUAGAGACAACUUUUUUUUUUGAAAGAGAAAUAGGGACAACUUUAACAAUCUCUCAUUCCUUUUUCUAUAUUCUCUAGAUUUCUUUUAUAUUUGCAGAAAAUUCUAUAAAAGUUUGGUGAAUUUGCUAUAAACUAGUGAAUGCUUAAUGGAUUGGUUUUGUUAGAGCAAAAAGCAAUUAAUCAAUUGGUUUGAUUAUUUCCUUAGGGUUUAUUGCUUAUGACCCUUUUACACAUUAUCAGUGGGAGCACAUAAAAUGUUAAAGGCAGUGAUAUUGAUACACACAUUGGAGCCUAUUAGUGUAGAAGUCUCAAUGAACAACAUAUCAAGAGCGGGUUGAAUUGGUAUUUAAAUUUUUUUUUGAAAACUAAGUGUAAAAUCAAGACUUUUAGCAACCAAAAAUUCAAAAAACAAGUAUGCAAUUUUCGUAAAUAAGUUUUCAACAAUAAAUUACAAAGAACAAAUAAUAAACAAAGGUAAAAUAUUUGUCCUAAGUCAAGUGCAAGCAGUAAAUCAUAAUGCAGAAUAUUAAAAGCAAAACACAAGAUUUUAUAGUGAUUUGGCUUUUUCUAGUGCCUACAUCCAUUUUCUUAGAACAUUAAGGAAUUUCAAAUCCACUAAGGGAAAUGAGCUUUUUAUGGGAUCAAGUGAAAUCCUCACAAUAGCUUUUUCAUGGGAUUAAGUGAAACCUUUACAAUAACUUUUUCAUGGGAUCAAGUGAAACCCUUCAACAAUGGUUUUUAACAAGCUUAAUCACAAACCCACAAGUAGCUUUUCAAGGUUAAACUAGAACCUUUGCAAAGAUGUGUGUACAAGGGAAUAUAGCAAAGGAUUUGCCUUAGAAAGGUUGAAUGAUACAAGUUUAAGCUUUAGUAUGAAGAGAAGAAAUAAUCUCAGAAAAAAAUUACCUCAAGCAUUUUCAAAAGAGUGAGUUUUUCUCUUUUGAAUGCUUUUUGGAAGACUAAGAUGAAAGCUAGAGAGGAAAAAUAAGCUUGAGGGUCUUUCUAGGGUUUUUGUCUUUAGUAUUGGUAUUCUCUUACUUCAAAAUGACUCAAAUAAGUCUAUUUAUAGUGUUAAGGAUGUUUGGAGCCGUUAAACACAAGUUUGAAAUAAAUUUGCCCAUUGCUGAAGCUUGAGGAUCAACUACCAUGCUCCUAGGAUUGACUAUGUUCUUCAAAAAUUAUCUAAUUAAGGCUUUUAUAGUCAACUAAAUUCAUCUUAUACUAAAUCCAACUCUAGAGAGUGUGCAACUUUGAGGUUUGGAUUUGAGGAUCAAUUACCAUGCUUUGAGGAUUGACUAGGUUUCUUUGAAAUGGAGGUUUGCAUGAUGCUAUAGUUCAAGGAUCGACUGUUGCUUGAUCAAGAUCGACUAUAGCUCUUUUCAGCUUGAUUUUUCAUUUUGUUUUAGUUGAGGAUCGAAUGGCACUCAAGGAGGAUCAACUACAAUUUCACAAAUGUCUAAGUUUCGUGAGACCACUGCCUAUGGAGUGACUACCUCUUUUAAAGGAUCAACUAUGGCUACCUCGAAUCAUGAUUCUUUAUCCAUUCUUAUAAAUUCUACCAUAGGAUCGAUUGAUGCUCUUCUAGUAUUGAUUGGAGCUUCAUUUCCUUAAGAUUUCUUGUCAUUUUGGAUUUCACUUUAGCUAUUUCAUCCUUGUUUCCUCCUUAUGAUCUAAAAUCAAGUUAAAACAUGUUUGUUUUUUAUUUUGUUGGCUGAACAUCCAAAGUUUGAAAUCUUUCGAUAUUUUUUUAAAGAUGCAUGGCUUUUCAAACAAUUGUAGCAUGAUGUUAGGAGGUUAAAAAUAUGAUUUAGGCAAUUUCAAAUGCUUGUCAUUAAAAUUAAGGUCUCAUGCUAUUUUUUCAAAUCAAACAUAAGAUAUUUUGUCAUUUAAUGCUAACAAUCUUCGCCUUUUUAGCAUGACAAAAUCAUAAGCAUAUUGCAUUUGGAAUUUUGUGAAACCUUCCUAUUGUUGGUUUUGCCCACACAAGUAUAUAUAUCGAACAAGUAAUAUAGGUAGUAUGUCCAGAUUGUCGUUCCCACAGAAAUUUGUUUCUAAAGUUUUACUAAGUACUAAAAUUAUAUAACAAAUUAAUUAUAUUUAAGCAAUUCAAAAAUUGAAAAACUAAUCCAAGAAAAAAUUAAAAUAAACACUAAAUUAACUUGCAGAAAUUAAAUAUGUUGAGAAAAACAGUAGAUUAAAGACUUAGGAUUAUGGGUUCAUUCAACAUUUCAUCUAAUACUAGCUUCUGUUGUUAUUUAUUUCCCCUGGAUGGUUUUACUAACCUAGAAUCCAAAGCUAUGGCUAAGUCUCCAUUGAGAUGCUUGCACAAAUACCUAACUUAAUUAGUUCACUAUAUACCUAACUUAAUUAGUUCACUAUAUAUCUAUAAGAAUAAACUAAAUUCAGUUCAUUAAGCAAGUGUCCUAAUUUGGCUAUGUAUGGCAAUUGGUGUAUCUUUAUCCGAAUCGCGAAUCUGAUAACCUAAGUGACAUGAACAUACACUAUCCAAAUCUUAGUCCAACCUAAAAUCUCUUUGUCGAGUUUCAAUUAGAUUCAUAAAUCAAUUAAUUGUUGAUCAAACAAUUAAAGACAUUAAAGGCAGAUUUGAAUAAGUAAAACAAUACACAUUCAUGAUAAAUAACAGAAAAACAAGUAUUUAGACUACAUGUUGAAAUCCGUCACAAUCUUAGAAAAGCGAAUUAGUUUAUGAUAUCUAAAUAAAUCAAUAUCCAAAGAAAUUCAGCCAUGAAUUCAAAUAAGAAAAAUGAGUAUAACACGUAAGAGAGAAAUAAAGUAAUGAGGAAGCCUAGUUAAUCCUGAAUAUUUCUCAAUUGCUCUUGAUUUCUUGCUUAAUUCUUAGCUCUAAUUCUCCAAAAAAACUACUCACCGCCUCCUCAUUUUUGAAUACUCUCAAAAAGUCCCUUAAAUAUGUGCAAGAUUCCCUACUUUCCAAUUUCCUUUCAAAGCUUUUAUUUUGGGAAACCAGGGUGGUGUUGCGGCCAUGACUCCUUGGCACUGUAGUGCCGUGGCAAUCAUUAGUGGUGUCGUCAUAGUGUUUCUUCCAUGCCUUGGCACUCUUGCCUCAAGCCAAAGUAUGAUGCACCUCAUUAGCUUAGGCCCACGACCAUGAUCUUCCUAGUGCUGUUGUGGUAGCUCUCUUAGCGUCGCGACCAAAAGUAACUCAAGGCCACAACUCUAGUCACCAUACUACCUUGUGCAGAAUUACAUCCAUUUAUCAUCUUUUAAUGUAAUUUUCACCUUUAUCUGGUCUAAAAUGGGUAAAGUAGUAAACAUGAAAGUUAUAGUCCAUUCUUUCAGCAUGCAAUGUAUCAAGAAUCACAUUAAUUGGACUUUUUUAGUUCAAGUUAUCUUUGAAUUACUGCAACGUAUACGAAUGAAGACUUCACCAUGCUUGUGUUGUUUUGAUUCAAAUGCACUUUUUUCAUCAAAUAUCCUACACAAAUCCAUGAAAGAAAUCAACAAUAACUCUUCUUGAAGAAAAUUAAGGAAGAAUAAAGUAAAAUUGAACUAAAAUAACUUAAAUUAACUACUUAACAUGUAAUCUAACUUAAACUAGAAAAACACCUAAAAUACUAAAAUCUGAACCUAAAAUAUCAAAAAUUAGCUACUUAAGCCCCCAAAAUAUGUCAAAAUAACUCUAUAUAAUAGAGUUUUCACUCCCCCUAACUCCAUUAGUCUUUAUGCCCUUGCUUUGAAAACAUUUAAGAAAUUAAAGUUCAAGUGAGAAGGUAAUGAAAAUAUGAAGUCUGUACUUUUUCAAAACAUAUGCAUGAUGUUUUCAAAACAUUUGAAAACAUAUGCAUGAUAUUUUCAAAAUAAGUUCCAACCUUUAAAUAACUUAAGAGCAUUUCAGUAUGCUCAUAAACCUUUUUCCCCUUUUUUGUUAAUAUAAAAAAGAUUAAGAAGUGUGAGCUUUAAAAUAAACUUAAGAGACAAUGGUUAACAAAAUCAUCAAAAGUAUAAGCAUUAAAAACAAAGACAUGAUGAGUAAUCAAAAUUUUUGAUUGAAAAAAGAUUUUCUAGGGAGAAUGUAGAUAUUACACUCUUUAUUAAGAAAAAUAAACAUGAUUUACUUGUUGUUUAAAUAUAUGUGGAUGAUAUAGUAGUUAGAUUAAUAAGCUCAAUAUGGAACAAUCCAAAAGGGGGUGAAUUGGGUUGUUUUGUAAAUUUUGAGAACCUUUUUUAUUUUUAAAGAAAUAAGGUCCCCUCUUUAACUUAAAUGCAAAAUUUGAAUAUAAACAAACUAGUUGACCUCUUAAUCAAUAAAAGAAAAUUAACUUUCAAGUAAAAAUAAGAGUGAAAAAAUUGACACAAGUAUUUUAUAGAGGUUUGGCCUCCUUGCCUAUGUCUUCUCCCUUAGAUUCACUAAGAAAUUCAAAAUCCACUAUUUGAUCCAUAUUUGAUAUAAUGCCUUCUAUGGAUCAAGUAUAACCUUUCAACACAAUGCCUUUUUAUGGUUAAAGCACAAUUACUCUACCUUUUCUAUUGGUUAAGGUAUAACCACUUAAGCAAGUACAAUGAAAGAAAUAUAGGUGCAACUAUUAUGCCUCUUAAAGGCUGAAUAGAGAAUUUGGUACAAUGUUUAAUGAAGAGAUGAAGACUCAAUAAAUGCUUGACUAGAAGAUUUUAAGAAUUCAAGAAGAGUACAAUGGGUUUUGAAUGAAUUUAUGACUAAUUCUACUUUCUUGAGUUAUGUUUUCAAGUCUUCCAACCUUCAUAAAUGCUGAAGAAGCUUUUAUUUAUAGUUAUUGAAGCUUUAAGGGUAGUUAGGAGUGCAUUUAAUGUGACAAUAGCCGUUCUUCUCUUCAUUCAAGGCUCUAAUGGUCACAUUGUAUCGAUACAUAUGUGUAUGUAUCGAUACAUUGCCUUUUAUUUUUGAAUUCUCAUCGAGAUGUAUCGAUACAUUUGUGCAUGUAUCAAUACAUUUGAACUUGGCUGCAAAGGUUUUGACAUUCUUCUUAAAAUGUAUCGAUACUUUUGAGAUAGUAAGUACUUCUAUUGAAAAUGUAUCAAUACAUUUGUGAAUUGUAUUGAUGCUUUUAGGUCGGUAAACAUUCUGUCUCAAUCCUAUCGAUACAAUUAAGAAUGUAUAAAUAGAUUGAGUUUGACUUUUGAGUUUUGACUCUGCUGAAGAACAUGUUUCGAUAGAUGUUGGAAUUUAUCGAUACUUAUCCAAAUGUGUCGAUGCAUGAAGAACAUGUAUUGAUAGAUUUAGACCAUAAUGCAUUUUUUAGAGCCUUUUUAAUUUUUUUCUUUUUCAAACUUAGUUGACAUUGUUUUGGGAUGUGAGAGCUUUGUUUUGCUAUAAGUUGAAUGAAUUUUGGUCAUUUCUUUUUGUCAUUUCAAAACAUAAAGAAUAAUUAAUCUAAUAAUCUCCCUUUUUUUGAUAUGACAAAACAAAUGAGCAAAAUUUUAAAAUUUGAUUUGCUAGACUUUUUAGGAUAUGAAAAUUGUCUCUAGUCUUAAGUCCUCCCCCUCAAUUUAUGAUCUUAUUUAACAAAUGUAAAAUGAUUUUAUUUGGUAAAAGAAACAUUUUCUCUUCAUUCUCCCUUUUUUUGUUAUAUCAAAAGAAACGAAGGAAGAACUCACAUAAUGUAAAGUUGAGUAACAAAAGGAUAUACACAGCACAAAGUGACUGAAUCAUAGAUAAUAUAGAAGGAAAAAUAGCUGAAAAGGAAGUAAAUAGCAUAGAUGAAUAUUUGUCUAGAAACAUGAGAUACCAACAAUGAAGUUAGAAACCAAAAUUGGUUAGCAAAGACCAUGUAACAUUAGGUAAGAAACUCUGAACUAAACUAUAAAGAAAUGUUUGAAAUGACCAAAGUAACAAUGAUGAGCAUGAAUGCACAAGUGGCCAUCUAAUCCAACAAAGGCAAUGAGGAUGAGGAAAGUUGCCAAUGUCCCAUAUGAGGGGCUCAAGGAGGUAGUGGAAAGUGAGCACGAAAUGUAGUGAAUUGCUCUUCGAGUAGGUGUUGGUGGUGAAUGAGCUCCCAAGUCUAAGGCUCCAAUGCAUCCAGCCUGUGAAUCAUGUUAGCAUCCAUAUAUUCCAUAAAAGAUAAUAAACAAGAAUAAGCUUGCCCAUUACGAAAGGCAGUGGACAUAGGAGGAUAGUUAGGACCUAAACUCGGGGGAGCACUCGGACCAACACUAAGGGUAGCACUAGGGGUGACACUCGACUUAGCCAAGGUGUCCUUAUUACCCUCAUCUCUAGCAAACUUAGGUUCAUUGACAACUUCUUUACAUAGCCAAAAGUUAUUGACAUACACAAAACCAAGCUUAUUGAUGGCAUGCUCAUUGAUCUUCAUGUGCAUUUCAUGUUGCUUAGGUGGAUCGCACCUAGUGUGGAUGCCUACAAAGUCGAUGAUAGCACUAAUGGCCAUGAUAUACAGAAUGCCUUCCUAUAUUUGGUUAUGAUUUUUAUCAUGUCAUUGAGAAUAAACUUAGCUAGAUUGACAUGUUGGUUGGUUUUGAUAAGGUACCAAAUCUAGAAAUCCUUACUCUUGAUGGUGGAAUAAUUUGUGUCGUGAAAGUGGAAAGUGUGAGACACAAUAAGGUGGAUGAUGCAAUUAUAAAACAACAGACGUUUGACAUUGGUCAUGUUUUUCUCAUUCGUGGGAGGAAAAGUGUAAACAGUGGAUAAAACCUUCUGUGACAUGAUGCUCUCAACAUAGUUUAAAUCACUUUGACAGAUGCCUAAGUCUAGAACAAAAUCUAAGGUGUGCUAAGCAACCACAAUCUUUUUGCCAUAACAUAAGUGUAGAACAUAUUAGUGUGCUUUACCGGUUCAUUAUCCUCAUAGUCUUGAAAUUUUGUGGUGGCAUUAAAAUAAAAUACUCGGACAAGAUCGACAUAAUAGGUUCUGUUCAUUGACAGAUAAUUGAGCCAAUCUAAUUCUAAAAAAUUAUCUAUAUAUGGCAAAAUUGAUGUUAGCAAGGUAGUUGAAGUCAAUUACCUGUCCUGGCUUGACAUCUCGCUGGGAAAAAACCUUGCCGAACUAUUAUUCCAAGGAUGGAUGGGAGAAAUUUCACUUGAAAAAGCAGUCGUUGAAGCACGGGGCAGGUGGUGGGGGAGGUUGGGAGGAAAGAGCCACCUCGAGGUGGAAGCCUUGCUAUGGUUGAUAGUAGAUUUGGUGCAUUUUGGACAAAAAGCCAUUUGAGGAGUAAUGUGAGAGGAAUUAGUUGGUGGAAGCUGUUUUUGGGGCUUGAGGGGUGAUUUAAUAGGACCAAUUUGACUAAAAAUGUAGCCAAUUUGAAAAAUUGGAUGAAAAAGGAAGUUAGGGUUUUGAAAUUGGGAAUUUGGGAUUUUGGGUAGAAUGUGAUGAAAUUUUGAGAAAAAAAAAGUGUUUUAAGUAAUAAGAGGGAAUAGAACCAGUUUAAUUGGUGCAAAUUUAAGUGAAAAACAAAAAAAAAAAAGUUAAAAGUUGAGAGAAUUUGGAAAGGAGAGACUGAAGGGUAGAGAGAAAAUAAGUCAUUAGGCUCUUAAAACCCCAAGAUGUAUCAAUACAUGGGUUCAUGUAUCGAUACAUACGAGGCAGAAUGUUUUAUUUUUGGCUAUUGGACGAAAUGAAUCGAUACAUUUUGUGAUGUAUCGAUACAUGUUCUUGCAUGUAUAGAUACAUAUGCAUAUGUAUCGAUACAUGUAAUACAAGAUUUUAAUGUUGGCUACUAGACAAAAAGUAUCAAUAGAAUGGACAAAUCUAUCGAUACAUGAGGUCAUGUAUCGAUACAUGAACUUUUGUAGCCUUGAACAAAGCGAUUUGUGACUCUAAAUGUAAAACCCGACCCUAUAAAUACAUGCCAUGACAUACAUGCACUGAGUAGCAUGUUAUUACACUAGGAAAGUCCCUAAGAAUAGACAAAACCUGGUAUUGUACCUAACGGUACACUUGAGUUGAUUUAACCUCGAACUAGUUCAAAUAGGAAUCGUAGGAUGAAAUUUAAUAUUUUACAGUCUAAGAAUGACUAAAAAUGAUUGUUCGGAGUUCGAGGGUUCAUUUGGAAAAAAAUUGGAAAUUUUGAUGUUCAGGGGCAAAAUCGUCAUUUUGCCACCUAAGAUAAUAAUUUUAUCAUGGAGUGAAAUUUUUGACCAAGAUUAACUAUUUGGAGUAUAAUUUAAUGAUAGGAAGUGAAAAUUUUUAAUUCCGACAAUUUUCGGAACAUAGGGGCAAAACUAUAAUUUUGUCGCCUCGAGGUAAAAUCGUAAUUUUCACCACCCAAAACUUGUCAAAAUAAUAGGAUUUAUUUAUUUUUGGUAUGAAUAACUAUGGUAUUUCAAGUGGUGAAAAAUAAAAGUUUAAAAGAUGAAAUUUUAAAAACGGGCCAAUGGAAAAGUGACACAUGGCACUUUUUAAUUGUUAAUAUUAUUUUAAAGGAAAAUCAGCCCAUUUAAACCCCACAUCAGGUGAUGGUCAGCCAUAAGGAGAAAAUAGGAGAGAAAAUAGAGAGGAAAGGAAGAAAAGAGAAAAACCAAAGGAAAAGUAGAAAAUUCAAAGGGGAAUUCACGUUUUUCAACCGUUUACGCGUCUAAUAGUAAGAUUUUUCGACUUUAGCUUGAUUUCUACCUUUCCUAUGCCUUUGUUUCCAUUUAGCAUGCUUGAGGAGAGAGAUCAAAAAGUGAUACCAAGGGCUGGCCGAAUUUCAAGGGGGAGGAUUUUGAUUUUUUUAGGUUUUGAUUCUUAGUUAAAUUGGUAGUUUUAGUUAGUUAAAUGUGUAUAGAAAUCAAAUUGGGCAAGAAAGCAUGAAAUUCUCACAAUACCCACCCUUGGCCGAAUAUUCAAUGAUGUACAAUGAUGAUGAACUGAUUUUUAUUCUAAGGGAAAUGAAGAGAAAAUGAUGAAAAAUGGUUAAAUGUGAUAGAAAAACAAAGUGGAAAAUUUACCGAGUUAAUGUCCCAUUUUUGACCGAAUUUUCCAAGGAGGAAAGUGAGCUGAUUUUGGUGAUUUUAGAGGGUUAUUGGCUGAUAUUUAAUGGUUAAAAAUGUUGGAGAGAAAAUGGGACAAUUUAGAGCUAAAAUGGAGCGCGUUAGCAAUUUAUCGAGUAAAGUGCUAAAAAUAAGUUAAUACCGCGUUUAAGCCGUUUUAGGCUAUUGCAUUUCAUACCAUGCAUUAGUAUAGGAUUUAAGUCAAUUAUAUAGUGAUUUAGCAUCAAUGUGGUGAAUUGCGUAAUUUGUGCAAUGUGUCUAGGAGGAGAGCCUUCCGAUAAGGCAAGGAAGUCGUACCCGAUGAACAGUGAUCGGGGCACCUAGAAAGCAUUUAAUUUGUACAAACGAUGAGUAAACCUAUUAUUAUUGUAAAUUAUAUAGAGUUUAUUUUUAAAUGCUCUUCAUGUAUUUUAUAAAACGAAAAUGAGAUUAAAAUGGGACUUUUGAUGUUUUAAAAAUAAAUGUGACAAAUAAAUAUAUUGUGUUGAUUAUCUGAAAUAAGAAACUUUUGAUUAUGAAAUUGAGUAAAUGGGAGGCUGCCAAUUGUUUUAAAAAAAUAUAUUUUCCUAUGAAUGGCUUAUGAUAUAUGAGUAUAUGUGGCUAUAUUUUAUAAUUGCAUUGGGAAUUUAUGUAAGCUAUCUUUUACUAUGCAAGCUGGGUAAAUAAAUAAAAGUCACGUUAUACUGUCGAAAUUUUAUUAAAAUUGGUGGGUUUAGUCACUGUAGUGACGAGUUUUCGUAGACUGCCUAUUAGAGGGGCACGGUAAAUCAGGUUAUAUAGUUACUCUGGAUGUAGAGGCGAGAAGGGUAACUCCCGGGGUAGUGUUAGAGCUCACUUCACGUCGAACCCCCACGUGAAUGUGUAACUCGGCCAACGCCAAGGAACGGCUUGAUUUCAAAACUAACAUGUGUUUAACAUGUAAAUAUCUUAACAACCUUGGCGGACUCGGUUAGAUGCCUCGGCCAAGGUAUCCCCGAGGACUAGUUUUUGGCUUGAGCCCUGUUUCUAAUAAAAGUCAUAAGCCUUGACAACUGUUUUGGUAAAUUACAAAUAUUUUAUGGUUUAAAAAAAAAUAAAUUGAAAAUCUUAUGAAAUGGUUUGUGUUUUGUUGUUUAAACUUGCCUCCAUUUUACUCGCGUUUAGAUAUUUAUGAUAAUGUCUGUUUAUUCAUUGGGAUUGCAAAAUCUCACCCACCUCAUUUCCAAAUAUUUCAGGCCUGUGGUAGCUUGUAGUUACCCGAUUUUGUCGAGGAUUCCAGUUGACCCCUCUAUCUCACAAACAGUAGGUUACUAUCACUAACACUUGGUGUAUUUAUGGGCCACUUGUCAUUGUAAUUAUUGUUGUACAUUAUAACUUUGUAAAUUAUUGUAUGUAUGAAUUUAUUUUACUUCCACGUUACAAAAGAUUACUUACACGUGUUUCUAUAAAUAUUGUUUUAUAUAAAAAUGCUAUAUUUUAAUCAAUAUUUUGAAUAGUAAUAUUUAUCUAUAAAUCCUUUUUUAAAAAAUAAUAAUAAAAUAAAUUUUGUCUUUUGAUUUACUUGAGCCGAAAACGAUUGGUAAUUGUUUAAAAUGGAAUGUUUAACAAUGAUUGCUCACAAGAAAGGCAAGAAACUGAUAUGUAAGCCUUGCGGGGUUCCGAUUGGCAUUUCGGGUAAUGAGUGUCAGUCGGGACGUCGCAGCGGUUAUCAUGGGCCUGAGGGAGGUUCCGGGUCGUGACACUAAAAACUUGUGAGUUGGUUUAGACAUUUGGUGUAAACAAAAUAAUGUGGAUUUUUUAGUUGAAAGGAUCUUAAAAUAAGGUUUAGAACUCGUGCAAGGGGAUUUUGAGCUUAAAAAUGAGAAUUGUUUUAGAAAGAAAAUCUUGUCUUACUCAAACAACUUUCCCACAAACCUUGAGAAUUAGGUGGCCAUUACAUGAAUGCAGAAAGAUGUCAUGAGCAUGCUUGUGUGUCAAUGCACAAGAAAGAUUCAAUUAUCAUACAUGCAAUCAAUUUAAACAUUAUCUUUAAUUUGUCACAUGAGACCCACAACUAAUCAAUGAGCAUAACAAGUGCAGAAUUAUUUAUUUAGAUUGGAUUUAUCAUACCUAGUUCACUUUUGAUUUUGCAUAAUUGUCCUCUAUCAAGUGUCUUAGUGAACAUAUCAGCCAAUUGAUCUUUUGUGCCUACAUAUUCAAGUGCAAUAUCUCUCUCUUGAACAUGAUCUCUAAUGAAUUGAUGCCUUAUUUCUAUGUGUUUAGUUCUAAUUGUUGUUUCAUCCAUGGUAUUUGAGCACAACAACUUCUAGCAACUACAUAUUCAGCUUCGGUAGUGGAUUGAGCUACACUAUUUUGUUUCUUUGAGAACCAUGAGAUCACCAUAUUACCUAAAAAUUGACAUGCACUAAAUGUGCUCUUCCUGUCUAUCUUACAUAUACCAAAAUCAACAUCCUACUAUGAAUGAAAGUCAACGGUGGAAUUCUUCGAAUACCAUAUUCUUAAAUUGGAUGUGUCUUUAAAAUAUCUAAAACUUCUUUUAACUGCACUUAAGUGUGAUUUUUAAGAAGAUGGUUGAAACCUAGCACAUAAACCUACAUUAAAGCUUAUAUCCAGUUUACUAGCAAUAAGAUAAAGCAAUGAACCAAUCAUAGAUCUAUAGAGCUUUUGGUCAAUGGGCUCACAUUUCUCAUCUUUGUCAAGCAUGGUUGAAGUGCUCAUUAAUGUGUGAUAUGUUCUUGUGCUUUCCAUACCGAACUUCUUGAGCAUAUCUUUUGUGUAUUUGGUUUGACUUAUGAAUGUGCCUUUUUUUUUUUUGCUUAAUUGGUAGUCUAAGGAAAGAAUUUAGUUCACCCAUCAUGCUCAUUUCAAAUUCCCUUUACAUGGUCUUAGCAAACUUUUGACAAAGAAUCUCAUUAGUGGCACCAAAAAUAAUGUCAUCAACAUAAACAUGCACAAUUAAAAUGUCUUUGACUUUGCUUUUGAUGAAACAAGUUUUCCUCUAUUAAAUUCAUUUUUAAUUAAGAAUUUUGAUAAUGUUUCAUACUAAGCUCUAAGGGUUUAUUUUAAUCUAUACAUCACAUUUGUUAAUCUAAAAACAUGGUUUGGACAAGUUUGGAUCUCAAAUCCUGGUGGUUGUUCAACAUACACUUCCUCAUUAAUUAACCCACUUAGAAAGCACUCUUAAUAUCCAUUUGAUAUAGUUUAAAGUUCAUAUAGCAUGCAAAGGCUAAUAACAUCCUAAUUGCUUCUAGUCUAGCUACCAGAGCAUAGGUCUCAUCAUAAUUUAUUCCUACCUCUUGACUAUAUCUUUUAGCAAUCAAUCUAGCUUUGUUCGUAGUUAUAAUUCCAUUUUAAUCCAUUCUGUUUCUAAAGACCCAUUUUGUACCUACAAUUGGGUAAUCAUGUGGCCUAGGAACUAGCUCCUACACUUGACAUCUUUCAAAUUGAUUUAAUUCUUAUUGUAUAGCUAGUAUCCAAUAGUUAUCAUUUAAAGCUUCAUCAAUGUUUUUACGUUCAAUUUGUGAGAUAAAGGAAACAUAUUCACAAACGUUUUGAACUUUGGAUUUAGGUCUUACCCUUUGAUUUGGUUCACUAAUGAUUUUUCUUUCAUCAACUUUUUUUCUUAUCAUUGGAUAGCUAGGCUCACUUUUUUCAAUUGUAAGUUCAAUUUGUUCCUCCUUUUGUGAUGCCUAUUCAUUUAUUUUGGAUCCUUCAAUGUUGAGAUCAAGCUCCUCAACUUGUUUUGAAGAAUGCUUACAUCAUCAUCAUCAUAAUGUUCCUUUUUAGAAAAAGGGUUAGAAUCAUCAAAUAACACAUGGAUGGAUUCUUUUACAACUUAUGUUCUUUUGUUGAAUAUUCUAUAUGCUUUAGAGGUCAAAGAGUACCCUAGAAAGAUUCCUUCAUCACUUUUAGCAUCAAAUUUGCCUAAAUCAAUCAUCUUUUCCAUUAUUCAGCACAUAGCAUUUACAACCAAAUGGAUGGAAGUAAGUAAUGUUUGGUUUUUGUCCUCUAUAAAGUUCAAAGGGAGUUUUCUUUAAAGUUGGCUUGACCAUUGCUCUAUUUAUGAUGUAACAAAAGGUAUUAGUGGUUUCACCCAAAAGUAUCUAGGUAGAUUAUUUUCACAUAGCAUGGUUCUAGCCAUUUCUUUUAAAGUUCUAUUUUUUCUUUCGACUACAUUUUGUUGUGGAGUUCUAAAAACUGAAAUCACAAAGUUGUUCAAAGCCUAGAUUUUCAAAUUCUUUUCCAUGAUUUUUCCUAACAUUUGUUAUUUUAUAUUUCUUUUCAUUUUCAACUCUUUUGCAAAAGGAAGCAAAAAUUUUUAAAGCUUCAUCCUUGUGCGUAAGAAAGAAAACCUAAGAGAAUCUUGUAUAGUCAUUCACAACUACUAGGCGGUAAUUCUUUCCUCUUAAGCUAUUGGUGCUAGUGGUCCUAGUUGGUCCAAAUAGAUCUAUGUGUAGUAAUUGUUAAGCUUUAAUGGUUGUGAUAUCUUUUUUAGAUUUAAAUGAGCUUAUCCUAUAUUUGCCUUUAGCACAAGCAUCACAAAGUUGAUCAUUUUCAAAAUUUAACCUAGGUAGCCCUAUCACAAGAUCUAGAGAUUGUAGUUUUGAUAUUGUGUUCAUGAUAACAUGUCCUAGUUUCCCAUGCGAUAACCAACUAUUUUCAUUCUUUUUAGCCAUGAAACAUGUAUUGUUAAAAGAUAAGUCAUCCAAGAACACAACAUAUGUAUUACCUUGUUUAUGUCCAACAAAGAAGGUUUUAUUUGUUUUAAUGUUAAUAAAUGACAUGUUAAUGAUUCAAAAAUGACUUUAAACCCUUUAUCACAAAGUUGGCUCACACUGAACAAAUUGUGUUUUAAACCACUCACAAAUAAAACAUUUUGAAUUUAAGAGAUAUAUUUUUUACCAAUGGUACCAAUACCUUUAGUUUGGCCUUUUAAGUUGUCUCCAAAGGUUACAUUUCCUCCUUUCUUUGGUCUUAACUCCUUGAAGAAUUCCUUGCUUCCAGUCAAUAUCUAGAUCAUCCACGAUCAAGAUACCAUUUUCUUUUUUCUUGUGUUCUUGACUUUAAGUAAAUAAGCUUUUCCUACAAAUACAAAAUUCAAACAUUUGACUUUGGUAUCCAAAUUUUCUUGGGUCCAUAUAAGUUAGUAUUUUUGGUUCUUUUGGAACCUAUUCCAAUUUUAUUACCUUGCCAUGUGGAGGUUUUGUUCCUUUUGGAACCCGUACACUUAUUAUUUUCUUUCCUCUAAAAGUGGUAGUCUCAAAAGGCAAGAAUAGAUAAAGUGUCUUACUUUAUGACAAUAAAUGCAUUUCGUGAAAGAUUCUAAUUUCACAUUAUCUUUAACAGACAAUUUUUUAAAGUGAGUUUCUUUUUGAGUUCCAUCAUAACCUAUUCCUUCUUUGUCAAAGAAUACUCUUUGUGUUUCUAGCAUGUCAUUCAAUUUUUGUUUACUCAUAUUAAACUUUGAAAAUGUAGCAUGCAAAUUCUCAUUCCUCCUUUUCAACUUAUUUCUUUCAAUUUCCAAAUCCUUGACUAUGUUUUCUAGUUCAUCAAAUGAAUAUGAGUCUAAAUCUAAAGUGUAUGAACUAGAUGUCACGACCCAAUUUUCGAGCCAUGACCGACGCAUGGGCCCAAUGGACGGAGUGUAAAACCCGGUAUUGUACCUAACGGUACACUUGAAUUGAUUUAACCUCGAACUAGUUCAAAUAGGAAUCGUAGGAUGAAAUUUAAUAUUUUAUAGUCAAGGAAUGACUAAAAAUGAGUGUUCGGAGUUUGAGGGUUCAUUAGGGGUAAAAUUAAAAAUUUUGAUGUUCAGGGGCAAAAUCGUCAUUUUGCCACCUAAGAUAAUAAUUUGAUAAUGGAGUGAAAUUUUUUACCAAGAUUAACUAUUUGGAGUAUAAUUUAAUGAUAGAAAGUGAAAAAGUUUAAUUCUGGUGAUUUUUGGAGUGUAGGGGUAAAAUCAAAAUUUUACCACCAGCGGAUAAAAUUUGAGAUUUUGAGAGAAUUUAGAUCAAAUUUGACAAAUUGGAGAAUGGUAUGAGUAUAAGGGAUGAAAAAUAUGUCUAUAGGCAAUUUUUCAAUUUUUUGGGCAAAAAUGUAAUUUUUCACUUUUACGGGGGUAAAAGUGUAAAUUUCAAAAAUUACUCCACCGAGACUUUGGAUAAGUCUGAGAAUUUUAUCUAAGCUAUGGAUAUGUGGGACAAGUGUAUGGUGAAAAUUUGAAAACAAAUGGAUGAAAUUUUAAAAAUGGGCCAAUGGGAAAGUGACACGUGGUAUUUUUUUAAUGAUAUAAUAUUAUUUUAAUGAAAAGUCAGCCCAUUUAAACCCCAUUUUAAGUGCUGGGCGGCCAUAAGGGAGAACAAGAGAGAAAAUAGAGAGGAACGGAAGAAAAAAAGAAAAACCAAAGAGAAACAAGAAAAUUCAAAGGGGAAUUCGUGUUUUUCGCCCGUUUACGCGUCUAACGGUAACAUUUUUCGAUUUUAGUUUGAUUUCUACCUUUCCUAUGCCUUUGUUUCCAUUUAGCAUGCUUGAGGAGAGAGAUCUAAAAGUGACAUCAAGGGCUGGAUGGAAUUCUAGGGGGGAGAUUUUAAAAUUUUUAGGUUUUGAUUUUUAGUUAAAUUGGUAGUUUUAGUUAGUUAAAUGUGUUUAGAAAUUAAAUUGGGCAAGAAAGCAUUAAAUUUUCACAAUACCCACCCUUGGCUGAAUCUGCAAUGAGGUACAAUGAUGGUAAUCUGAUUUUUAUUCUAAGAGAAAUGAAGAGAGAAUGAUGAAAAAUGGUUUAAUGUGAUAGAAAAACAAAGUGAAAAAUUAAUCGAGUUAAUGUCCCAUUUUUGGCCGAAUUUUCCAAGGAAGAGAGUGAGCUGAUUUUGGUGAUUUUAGAGGAAUAUUGGCUGAUAAUUAAUGGUUAGAAAUGUUGGAGAGAGAAUGGGACAAUUUAGAGCUAAAAUGGAGCGCGUUAGCAAUUUAUCGGGUAAAGUGCCAAAAAUAGGUUAAUACCGCGUUUAAGCCGUUUUUGGCUAUUGCAUUUCAUACCAUGCAUUAGUAUAGGAUUUAAGUCAAAUAUAUAGUGAUUUAGCAUUAAUGUGAUGAAUUGAGUAAAUUUUUGCAAUGUGUCUAGGAGGAGAGCCUUCCGGUAAAGGCAAGGAAAUCGUACCCGACGAGUAGUUAUCGGGGCACCUAGAAAGCUUUUAGUUUGUACAAACGGUGAGUAAACUUAUUAUUAUUGUAAAUUAUCUAGAGUUUAUUUUUAAAUGCUCUUUAUGUAUUUUAUGAAAUGAAAACGAGAUUAAAACGGGAUUUUUGAUGUUUUACAAAUAAAUGUGACAAAUAAAGAUAUAUUGGGUUGAUUAUGAAAUUGAGUAAUUGGAGGCUGUUAACUGUCUUGAAAAUUAUAUAUUUUCCUAUGAAUGGCUUAUGAGAUAAGUAUAUGUGGCUAUAUUUUGUAAGUGCAUUGGGAAAUUUAUGUAAGCUGUUUUACUAUGCAGGCUAGAUAAAUAAAUAAAAGCCACGUUAUACUAUCGAAAUUUUAUUAAAAUUGGUGGGUUAGUCACUGCAGUGAUGGGUUUUCAUGGACUGCCUAAUAGAGGGGCACGGUAAACUCGGUUAUAUAGUUACUCCGGUUGUAGAGGCGAGGAGGGUAACUCCAGGGGUAGUAUUAGAGCUCACUUCAUGUCGAACCCCCACGUGAAUGUGUAACUCGGCCAACGCCAAGGAACGACUUGUUUUAAAAAUAAAAAUGUGUUUCACAUGUAAAUGUUAUAACAACCUUGGCAGACUCGGUUAGAUGCCUCGGCCAAGGUAUCCCCGAGGAUUAGUUUUGGCUUGAGCCUUGUUUUCUUUUAUAAAAGACAUAAGCCUUAACAAUUGUUUUGGUAAAUUACAAAUAUUUUAUGAUUUAAGAAAUAAAUUGAAAACAUUAUGAAAUGGUUUGUGAUUUGUUGUUUAAACUUGUCUCCCUGUUACUCGCCUUUAGAUAUUUAUGAUAAUGUCUGUUUACUCAUUGGGAUUGCAAAAUUUCACCCACCUCAUUUCCAAACAUUUCAAGUCUGUGGUAGCUUGUAGAUAUCCUAUUUUAUCUAGGAUUCCAGUUGACAUCUCCACCACACAGACAGUAGGUUUCUAGCAUCAACAGUGGGUGUAUUUAGGCCACUUGUCAUUGUAACCAUUAUUGUACAUUAUAACUUUAUAAAUUUUUGUAUGUGUGAAUUUAUUUUACUUACACGUUACAAAAGAUUUCUUACACGUGUUUCUAUAAAUAUUAUUUUAUAUAAAAAAAUAUUAUAUUUUAAUCAAUAUUUUGAAUAGUGAUAUUUAUCUAUAAAUCCUUUUAAAAUAUUUUUGUCUUUUGAUUUACUUGAGCAGGCAACUACUGAAAAUUGUUUAAAAUGGAAUGUUUAAAAACGAUUGCUCACAGAAAAGGCAAGAAACUGAUAUGUAAGCCUUGCGGGGUUCUGAUUGGCAUUUCGGGUAAUGAGUAUCAAUUGGGACGUCGCGGCGGUUGUCAUGAGCUCGAGGGAGGUUUCGGGUCAUGACACGUAGCCCACUAAGCCUAAGCAAGCCUAUAUAUAUAAUCGUUCUUAUUAUCCCGUCAACUAUUCUUACAUUUACAUCUCAUAAUCUCAACCCUUUAAGUACUUUAAUAGUAAAUUAUAAAAACCAAAAUUGCAUUUAUAUUAUCCCAAAAUAACAUUAACUAUUGCCACUCAUGGUAGCUUUACCAAUCAAAAUGUACAUAUAUGGCCUAAGGUAUACAUCUGAGUACUUUACAUCACAGGUACGUAUUUACAACAAAAAUGACUUUGGGCUUCCAGCAGAGUGACCAAGCUGAAGGUGCGGCUACGAAAUGCCAAGAUACCUACCAAGGAUACGAAUCUACGAGAAACCUCGACCUAGUUACUGGCUGCCUCUUGAUCUGAAAACAUGAAUUUGAAAAAGGUGAGUAUAAACUCAAUGAGUGAACAUAAGAAGGGAACAAGCAAUUGAUAGGAAGAAUUUGGAAAUCAUGAUGCACUUGUUUCAAAAACAAUGCAAUUGAUUUAAUUUCUUACUAAAAACCCCUCCUUUCAAACUUUGAUUAAUAACCUCAUAGUGUUGCAAAAACCCAUGAUCAAUCCAUGAAGUUAAAUGGGUGAAAAAUAUGUCAAAAUCAAGCAAGGUAGCAAGUAUGGUAGCAAGUUUCUCGUUGCAGCGAGAAACAAUGUUAGUUUGCAUGUGUUCAGUUUUUCUAGUAUAUCUCCCAAUAAAGAAGUUCAAUUGACCUGAUUUUUAGACCAUUAGAAAGCUAAGAGGCAAGGCUAAAACUUUUAUGUUUACCACUUUUCCUAGUUCGGACUAGAAGGUGGUCAAAAUCUUCAUUGAAAUAAAAGUACUACACCAGAACCCCGAGAGUUUCUCUCUGUAGCGAGAAUCAGGCCAAUGUGACCCCUAAAACCUGAGAGUUUCUCGCUGCAGUGAAAAUGAAUCUCGCUGCAGCAAGAAACAGAGCAUUUACGUGAAAUGGGUCUUGUUACAUCAAAAGCCAUUUUCUUGUUGAAAUGAAAAGCAAUUUUGGGAGCAAUUAACAACACCAACACACAACACAAUCACAACUAUUUUCAUAAACUUUCUAUAACAUAUAUAUAUAUACAUACAUCAUUAUGCAUACCAUCCCACCACCCUCAACUCAAUGCAAUAUCAUCAUCAUGUGUGCACUCCCUACUCGCACACUUCAACAUCAUAAUGUGUGCACUCCUUACUUGCACACUCUAUCAUCAUCAUGGGUACACUCCCUACUCGCACACUCUAUCAUCAUCAUGUGUGCACUCCCUACUAGCACACUUCAACAUCAUCACACAACAUUAUUCAUCAAUACAAAACAUAUAUUCAUAUAUAUACCUACCAACAUAAUAUAAAAGCACAUGGAUUCAUCCUUUUACACAUUUCACAUUUUUCACAGCAUCAAAACAUUUUAUCAAGGGCUUGUUCCAUGGCACACAUUUUUAAAGAAAAGUUGGAUAAAAUCAUUCAAAUGUUCAUUCAAAUACAUUACAUUUCCCAAAAACAUUUUGAAGUGCAAGUUCACUCACUAGUCUUUAUUGAUGUUUUGGUGGGCUUUAGUUUCGAUUAAUGUUCCGAAUGGAGGUGUAGGGUUUCGUUGGAACCUAUCACACACAACAACAUCACCAUCUGUCACGACCCAAAUUUUGAGCCAUGACCGGCGCAUGGGCCCAAUGGACGUAGUCCACUAAGCCCAAGGAAGCCUAUUAAUCUGACAUGUUCAUCAUUCCAUCAUAAACUACUAAGUCACAUUUCAUAACUUAGGAUCAAAGUAAUAUUAAACAUUGCCACCUCAUACUGGCAUACUAAACAAGUGUAUGUUCGUUGUCUACAACAUGUAUCUUAAUAAUUUACAUUAGGUUUGUCUAUACACAACAAAAGAAUACUCGACUUCCAGCGGAGAGACUCAGACGAAUGUACAGCUAUUGAAUGCCGAGACACCUACCAAAAGAUGGAUACAAGUCUACGAGGACACCUCGUCCUAGUUACCGGUUGCCUCGUGAUCUGAAAACUUGAAGUUGAAAACGGUGAGUAUAAACCCAGUGAGUGAACAAGAAAGGGAACAAGCAUACCAUAAGGAAUGUUUAACGAAAUCAUGAUGCAUUUUUUUUCAAAUCAAUGCAAUUUAUUUUUGUUCUUAUUAAAACCCCACAUGUAAACCCCACAUGAGUAAAUCACUUUAUGAAAGGGUCCAUAUUCAACAAAGGAUUUGGAGAGUGAAAACUUUAAUAACAUUCAUGCGAAUCAGGUCAAAUAAACGACGGGUCCUCGCUGCAGCGAAAAGGUAUUCUCGCUUCAGUGUAGCUGUAGCGAGAAUGAAUUUUUACUGCAUGACACUUGAUUUAAAUUAUUAACUAACCGAGGGUUUCUUGACUGGCCGAGGGUUUCUCACCAAAUCUCCUUAUAUUAAGCUUAAUUCAUUUAUUCCUUAAUGUUGGAAAUCCAUGCUCAAAUAUGGUAGCAAAGAAGUGGAAAAUAGGGCAACAAUUGAUCAAAAUGUGAGACAAAACAAAAAGUUUUUCGCUGCAGCGAGAAUGCUAUAGUAUUUUCUGGCUGCAGCGAGUUUUCGGCCAACCGCCCUCCAAAAACCCGAUAGUUUCUCGCUGUAGUGAAAAUGAAUCUCGCUGCAGCAAGAAACAGAGCACCAAGAAAAAGGUUUCCCUUCACUCAAUAAAAGGCCAUCCUGCUAAACCAACAAAAUUAACAUAAACACAUGAAAAUUCCCAAAGUGCAAUGUAUCAAAUUUCACAUAUAUGUCAAUCAUAUAUCAUAUUCAUGAACUUUCAUUUCAUAAGUAUAGAUAUGCAUAAUUACAUAGAUAAACAUCAAUAUCAUCAUAAUCACACNNNNNNNNNNNNNNNNNNNNNNNNNNNNNNNNNNNNNNNNNNNNNNNNNNNNNNNNNNNNNNNNNNNNNNNNNNNNNNNNNNNNNNNNNNNNNNNNNNNNNNNNNNNNNNNNNNNNNNNNNNNNNNNNNNNNNNNNNNNNNNNNNNNNNNNNNNNNNNNNNNNNNNNNNNNNNNNNNNNNNNNNNNNNNNNNNNNNNNNNNNNNNNNNNNNNNNNNNNNNNNNNNNNNNNNNNNNNNNNNNNNNNNNNNNNNNNNNNNNNNNNNNNNNNNNNNNNNNNNNNNNNNNNNNNNNNNNNNNNNNNNNNNNNNNNNNNNNNNNNNNNNNNNNNNNNNNNNNNNNNNNNNNNNNNNNNNNNNNNNNNNNNNNNNNNNNNNNNNNNNNNNNNNNNNNNNNNNNNNNNNNNNNNNNNNNNNNNNNNNNNNNNNNNNNNNNNNNNNNNNNNNNNNNNNNNNNNNNNNNNNNNNNNNNNNNNNNNNNNNNNNNNNNNNNNNNNNNNNNNNNNNNNNNNNNNNNNNNNNNNNNNNNNNNNNNNNNNNNNNNNNNNNNNNNNNNNNNNNNNNNNNNNNNNNNNNNNNNNNNNNNNNNNNNNNNNNNNNNNNNNNNNNNNNNNNNNNNNNNNNNNNNNNNNNNNNNNNNNNNNNNNNNNNNNNNNNNNNNNNNNNNNNNNNNNNNNNNNNNNNNNNNNNNNNNNNNNNNNNNNNNNNNNNNNNNNNNNNNNNNNNNNNNNNNNNNNNNNNNNNNNNNNNNNNNNNNNNNNNNNNNNNNNNNNNNNNNNNNNNNNNNNNNNNNNNNNNNNNNNNNNNNNNNNNNNNNNNNNNNNNNNNNNNNNNNNNNNNNNNNNNNNNNNNNNNNNNNNNNNNNNNNNNNNNNNNNNNNNNNNNNNNNNNNNNNNNNNNNNNNNNNNNNNNNNNNNNNNNNNNNNNNNNNNNNNNNNNNNNNNNNNNNNNNNNNNNNNNNNNNNNNNNNCAACUACUAUUAAAUGGCUAUUAUUUGCACCAUCCUAAUCACUUUAAAAUGAAUAAACAACCUCAACUACAAAACAUUCCCAAGUCUCAUCACUAGCUAUUCUUAACACUUAAAUAUCAAAUUCUAAUUCCCUACUCACCUUGGUACCUUCGUAGUUGAAUCUCUUUCCAAAAAUUUCAAGCUAUUAUGGAAGCUCCCUCUUUCUCUCUCUAAACACCUAGCUAGUGAGAGAAAGAAUGGAAGUAAGAUUUUUUUUUCAAGGGUUUUAAAGUGAGAGGGUGAAAGAGCACAAAGGUUCUAUGAAAGGGUGUACAAAAACAUGAAAAGUGAAGCUAACUUGAGAGAGUUAUGGAAGCUUUAAGAGAACUCCCAUGGAGGAUGAAGAAACAUGAGAGGAAAGAAGGAAGAAGAAGAAGAAGCUAUUGGAAAAUGUGAGAAGAAGCUGCUAGAAGAUGAUAUUUAUAGCUCAAGCUUAUCCUACUCCACUUAAAUUACGAAAAUGCCCUGAGCAAGUUAGCUUAUUCUUCUUCAAUCUUUUGUGCAAUCUUUUUACUUUUUUGAUACUGAGGCCAAGUUCACAAUGGUCUAAAAAUACUCGGGUUUACAAAAAAUUAAAAUUUUGACCAGAGAUGAAAAAUGACCAUUUUGCCCCUACUUUGGAAAUCAUUAUUAUUUUUACUUUCUUUGUCAUUUAAUCCUUAUUUUCAUCAUUCAUUUAUGCUUUAGGCCUACUUAGGCCUUAAAAAUGUUUGAAAGCAUACUUCUAGGGGCUCACUAAAGAAAUGAUGAAAUUACCCCUAGCUCGGGUUAUCGUGUCUACACCUAGUUAUGAGGCUAUAGAGGUUGAGGUCUCACACUAGAGUCAUGGGAGAUAAAGCAUACCUUGGAUUUUUCAAAUGCCAUGAAGCAAUGGUUGGCAACUUCAUUUUUUUCAUCUUGAUAAUCAUCACUAUCGCUCCAAAUAGCAAUCAUGGCUUUCUUCUUGUGGUUUUUUGGGACACUCUUCUUGUUUGGACAUUCAUCUUUAGUGUGUCUUGAUUUUUUGCACUCAUAGCAUAUUAAGUGGUCUUUGCUAUUUUCCCCUUUUGGCAUAUGUCUUAAAGGAGGUCUCUUACCUUUAUAGUUUUUUCUCAUAAAUUUACUAAAUCUCUUAGCUAGCAUUGCUAUAUCUUCAUCUUCCUCACUCUUAUCUCUUAUGUUUCUUUCUUUUUUUUUAAUUUUAGAUUUUAAGGUUAUUCCUUUCUUCUUAUUGUCACCUUUCUUCUCAUCAUUUAGAGCAUUCUCAUGGUUUAACGUUAUCUCAUAGGUAAGUAAAGAUCCUAUAAGUUCCUCUAGCUUGAAAUUCUUUAAGUUUUUGGCUUUUUUUAUGACUGUCACUUUUGGUCUCCAUGACUUGGGAAGACUAUAGAGUAUCAUUUUAACUAAUUGAGCACUUAGGAAGUCUUUUCCUAAGGCCUUUAAUCCUCCAACUAUGUAUGUGAAUCUCUCAUACAUUUGAUUUAUGGUUUCAUUCUCUUUCAUUCUAAUAGCUCAUAAUCAUGUGUAAGGAAUCCCAUCUUGGAUUCCUUAACUGGAUUUGUUCCCUCCUAUGUUGUCUCUAAGGUGUCCCAAAUUUUUUUAGUGGUUUCACACAUGGAUACCCUAUUGAAUUCACUAGCACUUAUAAAGCAAAGAACUGUGUUGAAUGUCCUGCAAUAUGUUUGUAUUAACUUCUUUUCUUUGUCAUCCCACUUUUUCCUAGUUUUUACAAUGAUUUUUCCAUCUACCUCCUUAGUGGGAACAUAGAGGCCAUCUAAGAUUACAUUUCAAACAUCAAUAUCAACUGAUUGAAUGAACAUUUCCAUUCUUUUCUUCCAAUAGGGAUAGUUCGUACUUGAAAAGAAUGGAGCUCUUUGAGUUGAGUGCCUUUCACCCAAGAAAGUUGAAGUGGAUUCCAUUUUGAUGUGUUGAGCUUGUUUUUCUAGAUCACUCAAGGCUGUUAGACUUGUAGAAUUGAGCCCUUGCUCUGAUACCAGUUGUUAGAUUAAUAAGCUCAAUAUGGAAAAUCCAAGAAGGGGUGAAUUAGGUUGUUUUGUAAAUUUUGAGAACCUUUUUUAUUUUUAAAGAAAUAAGGUCCCCUUUUUAACUCAAGUGCUCAAUUUGAAUAUAAACAAUAUGGUUGACCUCUUAAUCAAUGAAAGAAAAUUAACUUUCAAGUAAACAUAAGAGUGAAAAAAUUGACACAAGUAUUUUAUAGAGGUUCGACCUCUUUACCUACAUCAUAACCCUUAGUGAAAUUUAAAAUCCACUAUUUGAUUGAUAUUUCAUAUAAUGCCUCUUAUGGAUCAAGCAUAACCUUUCAACACAAUGUCUUUUUAUGGUUAAAGCACAACUACUCUACCUUUCUAUUGGUUAAGGUAUAAUCACUUAAGCAAGUACAAUGAAAGAAAUGUAGGUGUAACUAAUAUGCCUUUUAAAGGCUGAAUAAAGAAUUUGGUACAGUGUUUAAUGAAGAGUUGAAGACUCAAUAAAUGCUUGACUAGAAGACUUGAAGAAUUCAAAAAGAGUACAAUGGGUUUUGAAUGAAUUUAUGACUAAUUCUUCUUUCUUGAGCUGUAUUUUCAAGCCUUCCAACCUUUAUAAAUGCGGGAAAAGCUUGUAUUUAUAGUUGUUGAAGUUUCAAGGGUAGUUGGGAGUGCAUUUAAUGUGAAAAUAGUCAUUUUUCUCUUCAUUGAAGGCUUCAUUGGUCACAUUGUAUCGAUACAUAUGUGGAUGUAUCGAUACAUUGCCUUUUAUUUUUGAAUUUUCACUAAGAUGUAUCAAUACAUUUAUGCAUGUAUUGACACAUUUGAACUUGGCUGUAAGGGUUUUGACAUUAUGCUUAAAAUGUAUCGAUACUUUUGAGACAAUAAGCACUUAUGUUGAAAAUGUAUCGAUACAUUUGUGAAAUGUAUUGAAACUUUUAGGUCAGUAAGCAUUUUGUCUCAAUUCUAUCGAUACAAUUAAGAAUGUAUCGAUAUAUUGAGUUUGACUUUUGAGUUUUGACUCUACUGAAGAACAUGUAUUGAUAAAUGUUGGAAUCUAUCAAUACUUAUCUAAAUGUAUUGAUACAUGAAGAACAUGUGUCGAUAGAUAUGGACUAGAAUGCAUUUUGGGAUGUGAGAGCUUUGGUCCUCUAUAAGUUGAAUGAAUUUUGGUCAUUUCUUUUUGUCAUUACAAAACAUAAAGAAUAAUUAAUCUAACAAUAGUUUUUAAUGCUACUAAUGAAAAAUUAUGUGAGAAUUUUGCUAAGAAAAUCCAAUGUGAGUUUGAAAUGAAUAAGAUAGGAGAAUUAAAAUUCUUCUUUGGUCUACAAAUCAACAAUGUUAGGAUGGGAUUUUCACCAAUCAAGCAAAAUACACUAAGGAAAUGCUGAAGAAGUUUGGUGUGAUGAAUGUAAAGUCAAUUGGAACACCUAUGCAUCCUUCUACAAAGCUUGAUAGAGAUGAAAAAGGAAAAGAAGUGGACUAAAAGCUUUAUAGAGGUAUGAUUGCUUAACUUUUUUAUUUAACAACAAAUAGACCUGUUAUAUUGUUAAUGUGUGCCUAUGUGUAAGAUUUCAAUCAUGUCCUAUGAAAUCACACUUAACUAUUGUAAAGAGUAUCUUUAGAUACUUCUUGCAUACCCAAAGCUUAGGCUUAUAGUAUCCAAACGGAUCAUUUUUUUAUCUUCUUGGCUAUUUCAAUGCUAAUUUUGCUGGAAGCAAAAUUGAUUGGAAGAGCACUAGUGGUACUUAUCAGUUCCUUGGAAAUAUGCUUGUCUUGAUCUAGUAAGAAACAAAAUUCAGUUGCUUAUCCACUACUAAAGCUAAAUACAUUUCAGUAGGUAGUUGGUGCGCACAAAUUUUAUGGAUUGGGCAACAAUUGAAUGACUUUGGCAUGCCCAUGCAUAAUAUUCCUAUCUUUUGUCACAAUACAAGUGCCAUUAACAUCUCAAAGAAUCCUGUUCAACACUCUAGAACUAAGCAUAUUGAGACUAGACAUCAUUUUAUUAGAGAUCAUGUGCUUGAAGGAGAUGUUAAAAUUGAAUUUGUUGAUACCUUCCAUUAGUUGGCUAAUAUUUUCAUAAAACCAUUGUGUGAAUAUCAAUUUUGCAAAAUUAGAAAAGAAUUGAUGUGCAUGAACUUGGAUUGAAUGGAUUUAAAAUAUGUUUUUGAUGAAAUUGUAUGGCUAUUGUGCUUUAAUUUCUUGUUUUGAUUAAUUAAAAGUAGGUUUUAAGUACUUAGGUAAGAUUUUAACUGACUAAAAUAAUGUUUUAAAUUGAUAUUGUAAUAGAGUGUGUUCAUUUUAAUAGAUUAAAAAGUCUUUUAAUUGAAUAAUUUGCUUUAGUGUAAAGUUAAGAUUUAAAGGCAUAAGAGUUUUAACUGAUUAAAGUUAGCUUUAAUCAACUAAAGUGGUUUUGUGUCAGCUUAAAAACAAUCUUGACCUUUAAAAACGUGCAUUAUGAACAAUCUCAUGAUCAUUUGGUAUAAAUACAUGUUCUUGAAGUUGAAAAACUUCUUGAAAAAGGGGAAAACUCUCACAAAUGCUUGAAUUUGUUUACUCCAAGACAUGGCACCAAUAUUGAUAUUAUUAACUUUGUUGUGCUUAAUUAUUAAAUUUUGAAAAAUGAGAAAUUGUUCAUAAGUGCUUGAUUUUAUUAUUUCUCAUGUAUUUACAUUGAAAAAUCAUGUGCUAAGAAUUGAAAUAUUCAAAUGCUUAGUCUAGGAACAAUUCUUGAAAUAUGUUUCAUGUUUGUACUUAAAUGAUUGUUUCAAGAUUGAAUCAUUGCCUAGGCUCAUAAAAUUGACUAAGAUUAAGUCAUUAAAUUUAGUGAAAAUAUUUUUUUUGGUUCAUCUAUUGUUUUGGUCAAGUCAAUUGCUUAUAUGACUUCCAAUCUUGCUUGAACUUAAUAAUUAAUGUCUAUAACUUGACUUAAAUGAUAGAAUUACUUAUAGUGCUUAAUUUCAUAACUCAAGUCUAGUUUGAUCAUGACAUAUAGUUUGUGUUAACAUAGUUGAUAUAUCUUUUGAAUAUGCAUUUGAAUGUUGACUAUGUCUUCAUUGAGCCUUAAAUGUUCACAUAAUCUAAAAAUUUGGUGUGCAUCCACUCUAGCUUAUAUAUUUCUAUAAAUAACAUGGAAUGUCAAACGAAAUAUGAUCUAUGGCUUAGUGAAUAGUGAAUGCCUAAUGUGCUUUGAUUGAAUGUCUCUUUCUUGAAUCUUGAUAAUUGGUACUCAUUGAUGAUUGCAUGUUCACUUUUAACAUAUUCAUGAGUUGAGUGCUUUAUUUUCAAUAUUCCAUUACAAUUGAUAUCAUUCAUGAAUCAUGAAUUAUUGAGAAAUAGCAUGUGCCUUGAAUUUCAAUGCUUGCAUAUUUUUUAUUGGUAUAUGUCUAUAUAGAAUUUAAAAAAAUUAUUAUAUUCAUGGCUGCAUUUCGUAAAACAAAUUAGAUUCGUGAUUAAUGAAGAUAGCCAUUUUAUUUCUUGUAAUCAUGCUUGUUCUUACUUGAUCAUAAUAUUCUUUUACAUGCUUCCAACAAGUGUAUGAUGUUUGGUAAUGCUUCAUUGAUAAUGAUAUCUUCUUGAUGAGAAAAUUCUCCAUGAAUUGCUAACUUCAUAUAUAAUUUUGGAGAAUAUUUCUUAAAAUGCUUGCUAAAUGAAUAGUUGAUGAUGAAUUAAGAGUGCUAAAUGAUUAUAUUCUUUUUAUAUGGAAUUUUUCCUUGAGUUGCCAUUUUCAUAUGAAUCGGAGAAUUCUUUGAAAAUGAUUGAUUGAUAUUGCCUAGCAAUGAUUGCUUGAUGAUGAUUAUGUUUGAGAAUGAUGCUUGAUGACAUGCCUAGGAACUACUUUACAAAUAUUUCUUGAAAGUAUGAGUAUUUGAUGCAUAUGUUGAACAUCUAUUUAAAUUCAAAUACUUAUCUAGUUCCAUGAAUACUUGAGUAUUAGAUAAACAGGUUGAAUAUCUACUUAAAUACUCAUUUAUUCUAGACUCAUAAUUUCUCUCCAAACAUUUAGAUUUUUAACAAUUGGAAACUUAUUGGUUUCAUGAUUUGUCUAAAGAUGAGCAUUUGAAUUAACCUUGUUUUACUUUUAACCCUUCUUUAGAUAAUGACCAAAAAGGGAGAAGUAACUAAGAUUGAAUGUUUAGCUGUUAUGGAUGUAUAUUUUCUUAUGUGUAAUGAAAUUGAAUGUUUAAUACAGUUUAUGACUUUCUUGAAAUUGAAUGUUUGUUGUUGCUGUAUUUGUGCUUAUUAAACUUGUAAAUUUUUUUGUAAAUGCAGUGGUUUAGCCCAAAUGAUAAAGAGAAACUUUGGUUAAUUUUUUAAAUCUAGAUACACUCAUUAAGGGGAAUUUUUAAAUAUCUUUUUUAAUGAUGACAAAAAAGGGGAGAAAGAAGACUAAGGUAAAUAGAGUUUGACAGGUCUUUAGGAUUAAUUUAUGUGUGUGAUGAUUAGUUAUGAUUUUGUUGAAUAUUAUGUGCUAGUUAUUAUGGAUAUUGAAAAUAUCUUACUUAGCUACGGUGAAUAUUUUAUAUCUUAUUUAGCUACUGUAGAUAUUGUGAAUAUUUUCUUACUUUAAAGAAAACUAAGAGCAUAUAUUAAGUGGGAGUAAUUCCUCAAUUGCAUAUAGAUACAAAGUUAACAUAGACAUUGCACUCUUAAUCUAGGGGUGUUUUUGUUGUUAUAUGCCCUUGAGCCAAUUAGAUUGGUCAAGGAAUAUAAAUUAUCGUUUAAUGCAUAUUUAAUCACAUAACUAUAUGUGAUAGAUGUUUUCCUUCAUGUUAGUGCAAUAAUUAGGAGUUAUUAAGUACUAAUUAGAUGAAGCCCAUGAAAUAUAAAGUCUUUGCAAGAGAAUUGUAAAGUUGUUACAAUUAUGAGAUCACUAUGCAUCAAAGCCAUGUUCCUAAAAUUGUUCAUGGUCAUUAUAUUGUCAAGACAUAACAUUGACAAUGCUCAAAGAGUGGUACAUGUUAAGUCUCUUUACUUGAAAAGUAAGCAAUUGAUCUCAUAGUUUGAAGUAUAUGGGAUACUUGAGGAUAACAUGUGGGUGUUUGUUAAAGAACAAGUUCAUUAAACAUGACCUGCUAUGAGAACUCCAUUUGGUAUUUCACUUAAGUGUCUAUGGAAUAUGUUCUUAUGUGAUAGUCGUGCAACUAGUCUUUAGACUUGAGACACUAAGUCAUCUUGUAUGAGGAAUGACAUGCUUUGAUUUCACCCUUACAGGUUUGGAGGCGACCAGAUGCCUAAACAUGGUGUUUUUGGUAUGCCAUGAAACAUGAGAAGGUUUCUGAGUGGCCAAGAGAGGAUUCAUCACCCUUAAGUGAUUAAAGGGAUGUAUCUCACUUGCUCUCAAUUCUUGAUCAACUUGUAUAAGGUCUUUGGUCAAAGUAUGAUGAAUUUCAGAAAAAUUAGUUUCCUAAAUUCAUAAGGUUAGUCAUGAAUUAUGAAAACUAAUAUGGAAUAUUAUAAGUAGACAUUAAACCAUUCUUUAUGACAUAUCCAGGAUAUUUGAUGAAAGGACUGUAUUGCACUGAGAGGCUUAUCAUUGAAAGGCAUUGUCAAAUUUUUUAAUUGACUCUCUAACAUUUGGGAGGUCAUGAUAUAUUGCUAGAUACCGCUCAUGAUCUAUAAAUAUAAAUCAAAUAUCAAAUUGAUAUUUGAUUAGGAUUUAUAUUUAUUGCCAACAUGUUAGAAGCCUAAUGGAUCACACACAUUAAGUGACAUGAUUGGGAUUAAAUAAGGAUAAUUAAUUAAGUUAGACUUAAUUAGAAUAUACCAAAAUAAAGUGAAAAAUUAAUUAAGUUUACAGAGACUUAAUUAAAUUAAAAUACAACUAUUGUAUUUAGGGUUACAACUUAGUUUGGUUAUAUAAAUAUAUUAUGUUAGCAAACUAAAGCUCUAAGCCUCCAAGCACUUUUUAGUCGUUUCAUAAAAUAAGAAAAGAAAAAUAGUUUUUUUUUGUCUGACAAAAAUAAGAUUUGGCAAGAAUUUUUGAUCGUUUUGUUUUAUAAACAAAACUUGCUAGCACAAGUAAAAAAAUCCUACCUUUGAGAAGGUCUUAUUCGGUCAUUAUGUGGAUUACUAUUAAAGGCUAAACACUUGGGUGGCUGAAGAUUUGACAAAUCCUAAAGGUGAAGAAGCAAAGAUUUUGAUUUAAUUGGCUUUUGAUUUCGAUAUCUAGAGCAAGGUAUGUAACUCUUAAACUUAUGAGUAUUCAUAAUUAAUUUGAAAGUUACAUGAAAAACACAAAUAUUGAUAUUGUAGGAUUCGACUAUUUCUCUUAUUAAAUACUAGUUUAUUUUUUCACUGCAUUAUGCUUUUAAUUUCUUGAUUAUUUUCAUGUUUGAGCAUGAGGUCGAAUCUCGGCAGUUUUGUCAUCAUCAAAAAAGGGGAUAAUAUUGACUCUAUAUGUUUUUGAUGACAACAAAAUAUUCUUUAUUCAUUAGUGUCUAAUUAUAUUAUUUGACUGUGCAGGAGAAAGCCUAAAUUUCUUAACAUAUUUAUUGUUUGAAAGCAAGUCAAGAUGCCUGGUAUGCUUGUUUAGUUGCAAGAAGGGUUAAUUGGUUGAACAAGUAAAGAAGAAAGAGCUUUCAUGAAGAUAGAUUAGUCUUAACUGAUUAACAUAGAUCUUUAAUUAGUUAAGUAAUUCUGGGUACUACACUAAGGAUAAGCAAAAAGGUCUUAACUGGUAAACACAAAGCUUAAUUAGUUAAGUGGGUAUUGGAUGCAAAACAAAAGGUUAUUAAUCGGUUAACCAAAGGGGUAAUUGAUUAAUGGUCAAACUUGAAGUACCUGAAAAGCGCUAAAAUUCAAAUUUAAAAUGAAGUUAACCGUUGAAGAGCACCAAAUGAAGGAAUUCAAAUUUAAAGAUAUUUUAAUCGAUUAACGCUUACUUGAAUUAGUUAAAAUUGAAGGCAGAGAAACCUCAAUUAGUUAAAGAGAGGACUAACCAAUUAAAGAAAGAUUGUUGGUUGGAGAAGUUUGAAAAUAGAAUGUCCUUAAUUGGUUAAAGCCACCUUUAAUAGGUUAACAUAGUGAAGCAGACUACCGGACAGAAAAGCUUUAAUCAAUUAAAGCUCAUCGUUAACCGGUUAACGAAGCACUACUGGUAAAUUUGAAAAGAGCCGUUUAAAGAAAAAAUAACGGCUAUUUUUGUUCCAAAACUAUUUCUAAUGGCUAGAAACUAUCUUUCAAGUACUUAAAGAGGUUCAAACAAUCAUAAAUGAUGAGAGAAGUGUUCCAAGUGAUUUUGAGCUUAGAAGACCUUACACUUGUAAUUCACUCCCAUCCUUUGUCAAAGUGUUUGAGCUUGAACUUGUACAUUUAGAUCAACUAGGUGAUCAAUUGUUCUCCAUUUUAUUUUUAUUUCUUAUUUGAUUAAAGAGUGUGAGGCGCUUUAAGGGUUUGUUGUAAAAGCUUGGGUUAAAAGCUCAUUUUAUAAAAGGUCAGUGGAAGUUGUAAAUUUCACUAGUUUUGGUGAAGUUAGGUUGUAAAUCCUUGAUUGGGAAGAUCAAGGUUGUAGAUGUAGGUCAAGUGGACCAAACCCCUAUAAAUUUUGAAUUUUUUCUACUUCUCUUAACUUUUUUUUACUUGGUGUUCACUAGCCUCAACAAGUUUUUAAAUUUUCCAUCUCAUUUCUUCUAAAAGGUUUUGAACUUAAAGGAUUUCCUUCAAAAAUAUUUCUUAACUACUAUUCACCACCCUUAAGCACUUCUUUUGGGAUCAACAUUGAUUGCCAUGCCUUGAGGAUCGACUGGGUCUCCUUGAAGUUUAGUUUUGCACGAUGCUAUUGUUCAAGGAUUGACUAGAGGUGUAAAACCCAACCCUAUAAAUACAUGUCAUGACAUACAUGCACUGAGUAGCAUGUUAUUAUGCUAGGAAAGCACCUAAGAAAAGACGAAACCUGAUAUCGUACCUAACGGUACACUUGAGUUGAUUUAACCUCGAACUAGUUCAAAUAGAAAUUGUAGUAUGAAAUUUAAUAUUUUAUAGUCCAAGAAUGACUAAAAAUGAUUGUUCGGAGUUCGAGGGUUCAUUUGGGGUAAAAUUGGAAAUUUUGAUGUUCAAGGGCAAAAUCGUCAUUUUGCCACUUAAGAUAAUAAUUUGAUCAUGGAGUGAAAUUUUUGACCAAGAUUAACUAUUUGGAGUAUAAUUUAAUGAUAGAAAGUGAAAAAGUUUAAUUCUGGUGAUUUUUGGAGUGUAGGGGCAAAAUCGUAAUUUUACCACCAGCGGACAAAAUUUGAGAUUUUGAGAGAAUUUAGAUCAAAUUUGACAAAUUGGAGAUUGGUAUGAGUAUAAGGGAUGAAAAAUAUGUCUAUGGGCAAUUUUUCAAUUUUUUGGGCAAAAAUGUAAUUUUUCACUUUUACUGGGGCAAAAGUGUAAAUUUUAAAAAUUACUCCACCGAGACUUUGGAUAAGUCUAAGAAUUUUAUCUAAGCUAUGGAUAUGUGGGACAAGUGUAUGGUGAAAAUUUGGAAACAAAUGAAUGAAAUUUUAAAAAUGGGCCAAUGAGAAAGUGACACAUGGCAUUUUUUUAAUGAUAUAAUAUUAUUUUAAUGAAAAGUCAGCCCAUUUAAACCCCAUUUUAAGUACUGGCCAGCUAUAAGGAAGAACAAGAGAGGAAAUAGAGAGGAAAGGAAGAAGAAAAAAGAAAAACCAAAGAGAAACAAGAAAAUUCAAAGGGGAAUUCGCGAUUUUCGACCGUUUACUCGUCUAGCGGUAAGAUUUUUUUACUUUAGCUCGAUUUCUGCCUUUCCUAAGCCUUUAUUUCCAUUUAACAUGCUUGAGGAGAGAGAUCAAAAAGUGAUAUCAAGGGCUGGACGAAAUUCUAGGGGAGAGAUUUUGAAAUUUUUAGGUUUUGAUUUUUAGUUAAAUUGGUAGUUUUAGUUAGUUAAAUGUGUAUAGAAAUUAAAGUGGGCAAGAAAGCAUGAAAUUUUCACAAUACCCACCCUUGGCUGAAUNNNNNNNNNNNNNNNNNNNNNNNNNNNNNNNNNNNNNNNNNNNNNNNNNNNNNNNNNNNNNNNNNNNNNNNNNNNNNNNNNNNNNNNNNNNNNNNNNNNNNNNNNNNNNNNNNNNNNNNNNNNNNNNNNNNNNNNNNNNNNNNNNNNNNNNNNNNNNNNNNNNNNNNNNNNNNNNNNNNNNNNNNNNNNNNNNNNNNNNNNNNNNNNNNNNNNNNNNNNNNNNNNNNNNNNNNNNNNNNNNNNNNNNNNNNNNNNNNNNNNNNNNNNNNNNNNNNNNNNNNNNNNNNNNNNNNNNNNNNNNNNNNNNNNNNNNNNNNNNNNNNNNNNNNNNNNNNNNNNNNNNNNNNNNNNNNNNNNNNNNNNNNNNNNNNNNNNNNNNNNNNNNNNNNNNNNNNNNNNNNNNNNNNNNNNNNNNNNNNNNNNNNNNNNNNNNNNNNNNNNNNNNNNNNNNNNNNNNNNNNNNNNNNNNNNNNNNNNNNNNNNNNNNNNNNNNNNNNNNNNNNNNNNNNNNNNNNNNNNNNNNNNNNNNNNNNNNNNNNNNNNNNNNNNNNNNNNNNNNNNNNNNNNNNNNNNNNNNNNNNNNNNNNNNNNNNNNNNNNNNNNNNNNNNNNNNNNNNNNNNNNNNNNNNNNNNNNNNNNNNNNNNNNNNNNNNNNNNNNNNNNNNNNNNNNNNNNNNNNNNNNNNNNNNNNNNNNNNNNNNNNNNNNNNNNNNNNNNNNNNNNNNNNNNNNNNNNNNNNNNNNNNNNNNNNNNNNNNNNNNNNNNNNNNNNNNNNNNNNNNNNNNNNNNNNNNNNNNNNNNNNNNNNNNNNNNNNNNNNNNNNNNNNNNNNNNNNNNNNNNNNNNNNNNNNNNNNNNNNNNNNNNNNNNNNNNNNNNNNNNNNNNNNNNNNNNNNNNNNNNNNNNNNNNNNNNNNNNNNNNNNNNNNNNNNNNNNNNNNNNNNNNNNNNNNNNNNNNNNNNNNNNNNNNNNNNNNNNNNNNNNNNNNNNNNNNNNNNNNNNNNNNNNNNNNNNNNNNNNNNNNNNNNNNNNNNNNNNNNNNNNNNNNNNNNNNNNNNNNNNNNNNNNNNNNNNNNNNNNNNNNNNNNNNNNNNNNNNNNNNNNNNNNNNNNNNNNNNNNNNNNNNNNNNNNNNNNNNNNNNNNNNNNNNNNNNNNNNNNNNNNNNNNNNNNNNNNNNNNNNNNNNNNNNNNNNNNNNNNNNNNNNNNNNNNNNNNNNNNNNNNNNNNNNNNNNNNNNNNNNNNNNNNNNNNNNNNNNNNNNNNNNNNNNNNNNNNNNNNNNNNNNNNNNNNNNNNNNNNNNNNNNNNNNNNNNNNNNNNNNNNNNNNNNNNNNNNNNNNNNNNNNNNNNNNNNNNNNNNNNNNNNNNNNNNNNNNNNNNNNNNNNNNNNNNNNNNNNNNNNNNNNNNNNNNNNNNNNNNNNNNNNNNNNNNNNNNNNNNNNNNNNNNNNNNNNNNNNNNNNNNNNNNNNNNNNNNNNNNNNNNNNNNNNNNNNNNNNNNNNNNNNNNNNNNNNNNNNNNNNNNNNNNNNNNNNNNNNNNNNNNNNNNNNNNNNNNNNNNNNNNNNNNNNNNNNNNNNNNNNNNNNNNNNNNNNNNNNNNNNNNNNNNNNNNNNNNNNNNNNNNNNNNNNNNNNNNNNNNNNNNNNNNNNNNNNNNNNNNNNNNNNNNNNNNNNNNNNNNNNNNNNNNNNNNNNNNNNNNNNNNNNNNNNNNNUUUUAAAUGAAGAUUUUAGACUUUUAAACUCAUUUUGAAUAUGAAUUAUGUGUUUUGUACUUGUAUAUUACGUUUUAGCCAGUUUCAAAAAUUUUGAGAAAAAAUGACCAAAAUACCCCUGUGACGAAAAUUUUAUUUUGAUUGUUUUUAUCUAAAAUAGUGUAUAUUCUAUAAAAACUCGAUAUUUAACAACGAUUUCUCACAGGAAAGGAAAGAAACUGAUAUGUAAGUCCUUGCAGGGUUUCGGUUGGCAUUCCGAAUAAUGAGUGUCAAUCAGGGACGUCGUGGCGAUUGCCAUGGGCCUGAGGGAGGUUCCGAGUCGUGACAAGAGAUCUUUCCAACCUGAUUUUUCAUUCUGUUUUGGUCGAGGAUCGAUUGACAUUUAAGGAGAAUGACUAUAGCUUCACAAAUGUUUGAGUUUUGUGUGAUCAAUGCCUGAGGAUCAACUACCUCCUUUAAAGGAUGGACUAUGGCUGUCUCGAAUCAUGUUUCCUUGCUUGUUCUUGCCCAUUUUGCUAUAAGAUCAAUUGAUGCUCUUCUAGGAUCGAUUGAAGCUUCGUUUCCUCAAGAUUUCUUAUUUUUUUGGCACUUCACCUUAGUUAUUUCAUCCUUGCUACUUCCUUGUGAUAUAAAAUCAAGUUAAGACAUGUUUGCCCUUUGUUUCCUUGGCUGAAUAUUCAAUGUUUGAAAGCUUUUGAUUUUUGCUAAUGAUGCAUGGCUUUUCAAACUAUUGUAGUAUGAUGUUAGGAGGAUUAAAAAUAUAUUUGAGACAAUUCCAAAUGCUUGUCAUUAAACCAAGAUAUCAUGCUAUUUUUUCAAAUCAAAACAUAAGAUAUUUGUCAUUCAAUGCUAACAAAGCCAUUUUAUUAUUCUUUGUGUUUUGCAAUCUUGUAUUCUAACAUGUCAAACGUAAAUGAAAUUUAGUACGUGAAGUUUACAAAAUUCUCAAUUAUUUCUCUUGUAUAAAAUGGAACAUAAAUAAAGGAAAAAUGAAAGAUCCUUUUAUUCAAAUGGGUAAAUUACAUGUUUGAUAUCCGAAUUAUAAUCAAAUUAUUGAUUUGGUAUCUAAAAUUUAAAAAUUGAUAAUUAGAUAUUUAAACUUUAUGUUUAUUAAACACUUUGUACCUUUGACUAACGAUAUUAGUCAAAUGGGUAAGAUGACAAAAAAUAGUGAAUAAGAAUGUUUAUAUAUAUAUAUAUAUAUAAAGAGAGGGAGAGAGAGAGGGAGGAUCAACCGACAUCAAUUGGUUGUUCCGAGGUAGAUUAAAGCUGAUCUUACUAGUCUUAGGUAAAUUGGUGCCAUUUGCCUCAUGUCAGCUAGAUCAAUCGUCGAUCGAUCCUCCCCUUCACCAAUCCCACUCUCGUUUCUUGCUUUUCCCUUCCUUGCUUCUUUCUCUUUCCUUAACUCCCUACUCUUUGCUUUUUUUUUCCUUUCCAUUUUCAAUUUUUGAAUGUUUUGGAGUUUUUUUUCCUUGUUAUAUUUUCUAGCUUUUAUUUUUAAAGUUAAAAUUAAAAAAUAGGUUUUUUGUUUUGUCAUUUUUAAAUUUUAUUUUUUAAUUCAAAAAUAAAAAUUUAAGUAAAAGUAAUUUUUUAUCUUCUAUCUCUUUCAUUUUUCAAAAUUUAUAUUUCUUAAUUUAAAAAUUAAAAAUUUUAAGUAAAAUCAUUUUUAUCUUCUAUUUUUUCUUCUUCCAAAUCUUUUAUUUAGAUUUCAAAAUAAUUUUUUAAAAAAAUGAAAAAUAAAAACGAUAUGAUAUUUUUAAACACAUGACACAUUUUAUUGACUAUUUUUUUCCGUGUCACUCAUUUGAUUAGCAUAGUUAGUCAGAAGUGCACACUAUUUAACAAAAGUAAAAUUUGAGUAUUUAAUUGAAAAUUUUUAACUUUUAAAUAUUAAAUGGAAAAAUUUCUCUAUAGUUUAGUCUGAAACAAAAUGUGUAAUUAACUCUUCUCUAUUUCAAAUAAAUAGAUCUAUUUAGUCGGUUCUAUUUUUUAAUUUACUAAAAAUGUAUCAUGACAGUUGUGUCAUAUUUCAAUCUUCUUACUUUUAAAUUAUAAGUUAUACAAAUAUAUAAAAAAAUUUUGAACCUUAAACACAAGUAAGAAAAAUCUUUUCUGGUUGCAUAAAUAUAUCUGAUCUCAUUUUCAAUGUUAUGAUACGAAAAUAUUAAAAGUAAAAAAGUUCAAAAUGCAAGCAUUAAGAGGUUUGUUUACAAACUAAGCCUAUCUCUUUUGUCUAACAUAUUAGAGAGGCCUUGCAUGGAAGCAGACCAAGAGACAAGGUUCAAGCUUCUAGAUUGUGCUUGAAGCUCAACGUCAAAGCUAGAAGACACCCUACUGUUCUUCUUGAGAGUUGAAAUCGCCUCUAUCUUGAAGGGGAAAGUGUUUGUCACAACCCAAAUCCCGAGCCAUGAUCAGUGCGAGGGCUCAAUGGACAUAGCCCACUAAGCCCAAGCAAGCCUAGCUAUAUUAUCCUGCUCAUUAUUCCAUCAAAUUACUAAAGUCACAUUUCAUAAUUUAGAAUCCAGUUAAUGCUAUUCAUUGCCAACUUAUAAUGGCAUUACCAACUAAUAUACAUGUGUUGUCUAAACAUAUGUCUUAAUAAUUUACAUUGGGUCUAUCUAUACACAACAAAAGAGUACUCGACUUCUAGCGGAGAGACUCUGAUGAAUGUAUAGCUACUGAAUGCCGAGACACCUACCAAGGGUCGAAUAUACGAAGACACUUCAACCUAGUUACCAACUGCCUCGUGAUCUGAAAACAUGAAGUUGAAAACGGUGAGUAUAAACCCAAUGAGU